CCUCUCUAGGAUUUAGCCACGCCCUUCAUUCGUUACUGUGGGGAUUUUCAGAACAGAGGUUGUGGCAGUUUCAGCAUCAAAUACCUGUUAAAGAAGAAAAGAUAGUUGAACUGGAAACAGAAAAUGCUGUUCUGUCCCUGAGAUUGGCAGAGAUAACGAAGUAAUGUUUUGCUCUGACCAAUGAGCCACAGGAAUGGCUCUAGAUGUGGUCAUCGUAUACUACCCUGAAAGAACCGCCAGAGUUCCAGGACGGCCACCUUUCACUUAAGCAAACUUGUCCACAGACUGUGUGGGUCCCAUCAGCUGAGAGUAGCCUUCACAUUGCAGUGAUGUGCAUAUUUCUGCUUUUCAGCCACGAUGGACUUUAGGAUCUUCCCUGAGGACCCUACACGAACCACAGGUGACCUGGAUGCAGAAGUCCUACCUGUAGCUGCCAUCCAGGGCAUAAGUCCCUCAGUGAGUGAAUUCCAGAUGGUUCUGUCUAAAGCAGCAUCGAGCAGGGUGGUGGGAUAGAAUGACAGUUGUGAGCAGUUCCCAUUGGCAUCAACUGUACCACAGACCCAGUCUCAGUGUGACACAGAAGACGACUACCUGGAAAGUUCAUCCACAGAGCACGUAAUUCUGAUUGGUGCAACAGUCUGGAAGAGUGAAAGAUAUCAUCUCCCAAGGGCAAGUGCUGUGCUAGUGGACACUGAGGAGCUGCAGGGAUCAGACCCCUCCCCAUCCUUCUCCAGCCUCUCUUGUUCUUUCUUGAGAUGUUUCCUGCAGACCUGAAAGAUCCAUGCAGUCCAUGACAUGGGUUUCAAUUUAAUCUCAGGACAUUUUAUUCAUUGCCCAAAAACUAAGACCAGAUAAAAUUCAUUCAUUCAUUCAUUCAUUCAUUCAUUCAUUCAUUCAUUCAUUUCUUAUAUAUAAGUACAGGGUAGUUGUCUUUAGAAACAACAGAGAGGUCAUCAGAUCUAAUUAGAGAUAUUUGUGAGCUGCCAUGUGGUUGCUGGGAUUUGAACUCAAGACCCCUGGAAGAGCAUUCAGUGCUCUUAACCAUUUAUCAAUCUUUCCCAUUUCCAAGGUAACUUUUUUACUUUCAACAAGGUAUUCUUUAUUCAGGUUACAUCCUGAUCCCAGCUACUCUCCCUCUUCCCUUCCCAGUCCCACCAUACAAAUCCUUUCUAACAAUACUCUCCCUUCUCUUUGGAGAUGGGGAUACUCCCUGGGUACCACACCACCCUGGGACAUCUAGUCCCAGGUGGACCGAGCACAUUCUGCCCCACAGAUUUACAAUCAGGCAGUCCGGGUAUGGGGAAGAGAUCCAAUGGCAGGCAACAAAGACUGAGACAGUCCUGGAUCUACUUGUCAGAUGACCCACAUGGAGACCAACUGCAGAUAGCUACACCAGGCUCUGGAGUUGGUUGCACAUGCUCUAGUAUACAUGGUCCAAAGUAUCUGACUGUAGGGGACUUCUUGUAGUGUUUUUGACCCCUCUAGUUUGCUCACAAUUCUCCCUCACUCUUCCACAAGACUUCCCAAGCUCCAUCUGAUGUUUGGCUGUGGGUUUCAGCUUGUGGAUGAAGCCUCUUCAGAGACAAGUAUGUUUCUUUUCUGUCCACAAGUAUAUCAGAGUAUCAUAAAUACUGUCAGAGGUUAUCUCUGUCACAUAGAUGAAUCUCACUUUGGGGCAGUCAUUGAUUGGUUGUUCCCUCAAUCUCUGCUAUAUCUUUAUCCCUGCACAUUCAUUAGCAAGAUAGAUUUUAAGUUGGUGCUGUGAGUGCAUUGAUGUCCACUUCCUCGUCUAGAAGUUCUUUCUUGCAACAAGAGGUAGCCAUUUCUGUCUCUUGCUCUGGUAGGAUUCUAACCUAGGGUCACCCCCGUAGACUCCCCCUAUGCUCUCCCUUACCAACCAUCCAGCAAGUCACCAGAGAUCCCUGCUCCCUCCUGCCCAGAAAAUUUGUAUUCCCACUCCCAUCCCUCUCCCAAACCCCUCUCCCUUGACCUGAUCACUAUUUCCGUCUCCUUUCCUGCCUCUUCUCUUAACCUGUUCCAUCACUUCAUCCUUCUGAGGACUAUUUUCUUUUCCCUCUGAGUGAGAUUUACACCUCCUCAUUUAGGCCCUCCUUCUUUCUUCUUGUCUAUCUAUCUGUUAUCUUACACUGUAUGAUAAUGUCCACCUAUAAGUGAGUACACACCAUACGUUUUUCUGUGGUUCUGGGUUUCCUCACUCAGGAUAACAUUCUAAAGUUCAUCCAUUUGCCUAAAAAGUUCAUAAUGUAUUUAUUUUUAAUAGCUGAAGAGUAUUCCUUUGUAUAGAUAUAUACCAUAUUUUCUGUAUCCAUUUUUCAGUUGAGGGGUAUUUAGGCUUUUUUUAGUUCUUGGCUAUGACAGAUAAAACCAGUAUGAACAAAGUUCAUCAAGCAUCCUUGUGGGAUGGUGGGGCAUCUUUUGCGUAUAUGUCCAGGGGUUGUUUUGCUAAGUCCAGUGGUAAAACGAUUCCCACUUUUCUGAGAAACUGCCAAUAUGAUUUUGAAAGUGGAUAUACAAGUUUGCAAUCCAAGCAGCAAUGGAGGAGUAUUCCCUUUUUUCCACAUCCUCACCAGCAUGUGCUGGAUGUCACUUGAGAUUUUUAUUUUAGUCAUUCUGAUUCAUGUAAGUUGGAAUCACAGGGUGCUUUUGAUUUGGAUAUACCUGAUGACCAAGGAUGGUGAACAGUUCUUCAAGUGUCUCUUGGCCCUUCGAAGUUCCGCUGAUGAAUUUAGCUUUGCACCCCAUUAUUAGAUUAGGAUAUCUGGUUUCUUGUAGUUUAACUUGUUAUUUAUGUAAUUUGGAUAUUAGUCUUUUGUGAGAUAUAGGCUUGGUGAAGAUCCUUUUCCAACCUGUAGUCUGCCAUUUCUCCUAUCAAGUGUGUUCUUUUCCUUACAGAAGCUUUUCAGUUUCAAGUUUCGUUUAUUGUGGAUCUCAAUAUCUGAGCACCACUGGGGUUCUGUUCGGGAAGUUGUCUCCUGUACCAAUGUGCUCAAGCCUAUUUUCCAAUUUCUCUUGUAUCAGGUUUGACAGAUAAGGUUUUAUGUUGAGGUCUUUGAUGCAAUUGGACUUGAGUUUUGCAGAGCUUUAUACAUUAGGGUCAUUGCAUUCUUCUUUAUGCCUGUAUCCAAUUAGACCAGCACCACCUGUUGAAGAUGCUUUCUUAUUUUUGUCAUAUGAUUUUGCCUCCUUUCUUGACAAUAAGCAUCCAUAGUUGUGUGGGUUUAUUUCAGGGUCUUGGAUUUCAUUUUAUUGAUCAAUCUGUCUGUUCCUAUACCAAUACCAUAUAGUUGUAUUACUAUAGCUCUGUAGAACAGCAGUAAAUCAGAGAUGGUGAUUCCUCCUGAAAUUCUUUUAUUGUUCAGGAAAGUUUUAGCUCCCUGUGUUUGUUAAAUAUUUCACUUGAAGUUGAGAAUUGCUCUUUUAAGGUGUGUAAAGACUUGUUUUCAGCUUUGACAGGUAUUGCCUUCACAAUUUAGAUUGGUUUUAGUAAGAUGGUAGUUUUCAAAUUAUUAAUCCUACCUGUCCAUGACCUUUCUUAUGAUAUCUUCUUCAAUUGCUUUAAUCGGAGAUUAAAUUUUUUGUCAUACAGAUCUUUCCUUUUCUUAUAAUUGCACUGAGGCCUUUUUGUUAUAUUAUUUGUUGCUAUUGUAAAUAGUAGUGUUUCCCUAAUUUGUCAGUCCCUUCAUUGUUUGUUUAAAAGAGUCCUACUGAUUUUUUUUAGUUAAACUUGUAUCCAUAAACUUUGCUGAUGGUGUUUAUCAAAUGUAGGAGUUAUCUGUUCUUUUUAGCUUUGUCAGUCUUGGACCCAGAGGGCAGAAUGAACGGCUGUAAAGAUGACAGGGUGUUUCCUCUAUCCUAUCUUCUCCUUUGUCAUUCCAAGGGCAGUAAGCCUAGAAAUUACCUUUCCAUUCUUUCUCCAAACUCCAUUUGCUUACCAGACAGUGAUAGCUGAGAAUUCCAGACCACUACUGUGUCAUGUGGACCCUGUCUGCAGGAGAAUGGUCUCUUAGGGCAGGUGAAAUGUUGCCUGUAUGUUCUUCAAUUUGCAUGAGGUGGCUAGAAGGAGGUUUUUAUGUAAGGCACACAACACAUCAUUCUUCAACAAUGUGAGCCUUCAGAUCUGAUGUAAAUAUUUGAGAUUGAAUAUCUAGUUCAUGAUUUAAUUUCAAAAAUUCUAAAGAAAGGUUUCAGAUUUGAUGCUAGGGAUUUUAUUUUUAUCAAUUCAAAUCAACAUUACACUAAUCGUUGGUGGACAUUAUAGGUGACAGUUCUGUUAGAGAGUUAACUAAUUCUUCAGAGGUUCCAAAGACUCUAGGACUCUCACAGCAUUACACAGCAUUCUUGCAGGUAGGAGCAAAGAUGUCUGAGAAGAGUGGGAGCUCAUAGGUGGCCGUCAAACAUAGCUAUCUGAAAAGAUGUAAAUUUAGUAAAGAGAUGUAGAUACACUGUCAGGAAAGGAAGAAGCGUGUUGCUGUACCUCCUGUGACUUAAGUGCUAGAAGAACACUUGUGUCAGUCGAGUCUGCAACUCUUUCUCAGCAUAAUAGAGUUAUUUAAUUUUAAUUCCUGAAUUUUGCACUGUCAUUCCUUAGGUGAUUUAUGGAAAAAGACCUCAGUUUGCUUAUUUUAUGUGAAAGGGGAUUUUAUGAUUUCAUCACAUUUUCUAUUUUCAGAAUCCCUAAUGUGAGUUCAGAAGAUUUUUCUGAUCCAUAGAAAUCUGUGCAUCAGUGAAAUAUGCACACUUUCAAAUAAAACAGAAGCAUUUUCAACCCAAAAAUUCUUUUUAAUACAAGCUAUACGAUCAAGUGUUGAAAUACAAGCAUAAGUAUUUUUUUUUACAUUUAUCGAGUUUCCUAUUUGAAAGUGUGUCUUUGCUUUUUCCUCUGUAAGAGAAUAGAAUGUCCCAGAGAGCUGAUGAAGGAUUUGCACACUUGUCUUGCCUAGGAAGUGCAUUCUCCUUGUUUCUGCAGCACAUGGGCAGCCUUUGGUGGCAUAACAAUACCUCCCAAAGAAGAGCAGGUACCUGCUAUCCCUAGUGCAUGGGAAGACAGAUGCACUCAAGAACCUGCAAGCAUCUGAAAAAUCUGCAUGUGUGUUUGUGAGACCUGUAGUGAAAUAGACUUGGCCAUCCCUGGGCAGUGAGGUCAGAUGUGAAUAUGUGUUGUAAGAGCACAUUGAAUAGCAUACAUUACUGUGGGGAAAUGUCUCCUUUCACUGCCCCAUGCUAAUGCCUGGACUCCCCAAACAUAUUCACUGAUAAGCCCAUUGCCUUAAAGGUCUUCUGGUCGUUCAUGUUUGAAAUGUAAGUGGCCACUCAGUACUGAUGGAAUGAAGGUAUGCUUUAUUAUCAUGGCACAAGGUACACUGAUCAGUUCCAGCAGGCUGAAGGGUCAGUGAGAUGUUGUGUCCCCUCACUCUCAUGCAUACUUUGCUUGAGCAGGGCAGCAGGACAGCAUCCAAAUCUCAGGGGAUGGGUGAAAUACAAGGAGGGAGUGAGGCGGUUGUUACUCAAAGGAUGUAAAGUUCAGAUGAACAGGGAAUGACUGUGACUACUGUUAUAUGGUAAACUGUGACACUCCACAGUGUCCUGUAAAAAAUGCAAAGGAACUUUAAGAAAGGGAAGGCAUGUUUGAGGGUUUAAGGAAUUUGGGGGGAACAUUUUUGGAAGAGCAGAAUUUAUAUAUUAGAAUUAGAGUUUGUAUUUCGAUAUUUUAAUUUACAGGUUUUUUAAAUCUGUGGAGAUAUCCAUUAGAAACUAGAUUUGGUACUCAUCGAGGACCAUGUCUUCUUAUGCACCCUGUCCUGUGUGGGAUUUGUGGCUCUGACCUACUGUUUUCCCUGGUCUCUGUACCACUUCAUUUUCUGCCAAAUCCUACAUGAGUCUUCCUCUGUCCAUUCCCAGGUAAUAAAGUGUUUUCAGAAACACAUAUACUCAUGAAUUUAUGAUACAAUUAAAUCAGAAUAGGUUGGUUGAUUGACUUGGCAGAAGAAAUGUUCAUCUCCUAAAGUGCCGGGUGAUUAUGUUUAUUUACAAAAUUUUUCAACUUAUUCACUCAAGGCAUUGGGAGGUAAGUGCCAGUCUUGAGGUUGCUUAAUCAUUUUUAGCAGUAUACAGAUAGUACUGCCCCUGCUCACCCUGUGAUCCCAGGCAGUCACAUACAUGACAGGUUAGGGGAUCAGACGAGAAACCAUAUGUGUGUGUAACUGUUAACACUGUGAGAAAUGAACACAGAACCUGUGCAGGUUGAUUGAAGGACCCUAUAAGACAUUAUCUGUUAGGUAGGCUCUCUUGAGAUAGUAGAGGGCAUGGGGAAGAGUCUCCUCCAUCGGAAGGCUCAGGAGGCAGGAUCGCAAGUUGGCUGGGAAAGUUAGGUCUCCAGGUGAUACGAGUAUUCAAUGCCACAGUAAAUUGAUUUGUACUCUACAAGCACUGUGGGGACUCUGUUUUUCUUGAGAAGGCAGAAGCAAAGUCCCAUAUUCAAUGAGCAGGUAAUCUACCCAGGAAAACUUCUGUGGGUAGGCAUACAGCUUUUGCUUAUGAGUGGCCAAUGAACAAUACCCACUGCCCCUCCCCCUACAGACUUAGCUAUGCCCUGAGGGGAUUUCCAGAACAGAGUUAGUGGCAGUUUCAGCAUCAAAUGCCAGUGAGUAUGAAGGGAGCCCAGGGAGUUUGAAACCAUCUCUCCAUGCUCUAAGGGACGUGGAAAAAAUAAGAGAACUGGGGUUGUCAUCGUAGCACUGUUUUCUGAGUCUUGAGUUCCCUUGGGAUGGAGAUCAAAUUUUCAGAAUCUUAGGGAAGUUGACCUGUUUGCUCCCAACUGUCUUUAUGGCUCCUUCCUCAAACUCCCACUUGGGUCCUCUCUGACCUUGCAUUUGCAGCAUCAGCACAUCUAGGUCCCCUGACUUGGCACCUCCCUCAGCUAUGCUGAACAUUCACAGACUCCAUACUGAGCAGGAUUUGGGAGUACAGCUACUAAUACCAAAAAUUAUGUAACCCUACUCUUUGCCCUCGUAGAGCACACAGCAGAAUAAAUAAAUGGAUAAAGUGAACAAAAAUAUAAACACCAUGUGUGGUAAUGGCUGCCAAGUAGAGAGUCUGGACCUUACCUGAUCUGAAAUCAGCCCCACCUAAGGCUUAUGGACAGGAUACUGGGAAGGGGAAAAACAUUUGAAAUGUAAGUAAAGAAAUAUAUCUAAUAAAAAAUUAAAAAACCAACCAACCAUACAAACAAACAAACAAACAAACAAACAAACAAAAAAGACUAUACUGUGACCUUACCCAGAGAGAAGAUGAUCUGAUCUGCCUCUUAAAAGUGAGAUUUUAGCAGGUAGUGCUUGCUGACCAGAGAGGUCAGAUGCUUACUGAGCAGCCCCUUAGAAGACAAGGCUUGACUUCCAACUAGCAGACAAGGAAGUCUGUGGGCAUGCUCCAAGGAAACUGGUGAGAGCCGCAGGCAGCAUUUUGGAUCUUUGCAAAUUUGCCUAAGUGUACAUUGAAGGAAGAAAUCUCUGUUCCAGCAACAAGUGCUCAGGUCCUUAAGGAGAGCACAACCCUGCCUGCUUCAAGCUCCAGAAGCUACCCAGAAGCUUCAUCCUGGGACUGUACCUUAGCACUAACUCAGGACCACUUUACCUCACCUUGAGAGACUAAUCUUAGGAUUUCCAUCCAUCCCAAGAUACAGCUGGGCUUGUAGCAUCAAUUUCAGACUCCAGGGCACACCAAGAAUGCACACUGUAAUAAUCUUUGUGGGCUGUCUCCACAUUUGAGCAGAGGUUUCUGUGGGCUUGAGAUUGGAAGUCUUGGGUCCAAGAGUUGGCUCCAGUUCUCCUCAGUUUGUAGGUAGCAGAUUCCUCUUGAUGUCCUGUGUUCUCUCUCUGUACCCUUCUAAUGUCUGUGGCUCUAGGGUUCCCUUCAUAAGGACCCCAAAGACAUUACAACAGAGCCCACUUUUCAGGCUUCCUUGAAUCGAUGACCUUGAAGGCACUGUCUUUAAGUGUCACCUGCUUAGUGUCAGGGACUUCAUCCUUCACCAUAUGAAUUGGGGUGUAUCUUGUCCAACCUAAAGCACUCAAGAGAGACUCAUAGGGUCAGGGCAAACCUGACAGAAAUUUCUCACAGAGCCCCAUUCUAAUUGGACCAGACUUUGUAAAUGUUUGUGUCCCAGGUCUUUCUGGUACUGCUGUCCAAAAUUGUUCUCAUGGUAUAAAUCCGUCAUUUAUGGAGGGAAACUGAACAAAAGGAAAGUAAGGAAGAAAAAGGCAGUCGACUUGUAGAUGGAAUCCAAUUAUAAAUAGAAGAGACCCUAAGGAAUCUGCUAAAAUUUAGCACUGAAUAGUGAGUUAUACAAGACCAAUGAAUAUAAGAUCUGUUAGCAGAAAUGAAGCAGUUCUGUAGCCUAUCAGUAAACAGCACAAAAUUAAGGUAAAAUUUCUAUGUCAUACAGCAUGUUUAAAAAAAUCAAAAGUAUUUUCAAAUUACUUUGAGCAAGCAUAUACUAAACUUUUAACUAUAGCUUCUAUUAUUUUUGAAAUCUAGAAAAUAAUAAACUUCAUCAACAUAUUACAGAGAUUUUCAUAAUCAAGUGAACACAUUUAGAAAUUGACAGUGUAUAACUCAGAGGUUUUCAAACUCACACCAUGGGCUCUCUUUACCAAUCAGAGUUUAGAAGUGCAGAUAAUGCUGUCUCCAUGUAGUCACACAUACUCUGUGAGAAGAUUUAGAGAGUUAAUUCCCUAACAGCAGGGUCCGCAUCCCAAUGUGGAGACAGAAUUCCCUUCAAGAGGGUCUAAAUCACCUGCAGGUAUGAGUAGCCCCCUCAAAGGAAGGACUGAAUCUCCUGCAGGCGAGAAUGACAAAAAUGAGAGGAUCCAUAGGAGGAGGGACUUAAUUUCUUCUCUGAUGAGACUGGAGCACCAGCAGGAAUUUGACUCUGUAGUCUGAGAGAUUAUUUUCAUCAUGAUGUUCUGAGUUCCCUGAAUCCACAGCUGGAACACUGAGCCACCACCAGGAACACUGCACCUGGACCAGUUGUCUUAAGGGCAUUAAAUACGAAUUUCACUUCUUUGGCUAUUAAAAUCCUACCAUGCUCUAGCUUCCUUCCAACAUCCACCCUUCAUUCCCCACCAUCUCAGCUUCUCAAUGAAUCCUUCCUCUCCUUGAUUUUCCAAGCCUACCUACGUCUUAUGAGCACCUACACACACACACACACACACACACACACACACACACACACACACACACACACACACCUGGCUUUGAAGGGAUCAGAUUUUUAUUUUUAAGGCUGAACUGUUUCUAUGGCUUUCUCUGUAAACUCUGCUUCCCAGCUACUUUCCAUGGCACCUUCCUGACCAAAAGAUAAAAGAGUCUCGAGUGUACAGCUUGCAUCCCUGGUAGUCCUCAGGUCUGGAGCUGAUGGGCUCAGAGCCAUGGGGUGUGUGUGUGUAGCCGGCCAGGCCUUGCUGAGGCUGACUUGUCUUGCCUCUGCAGUAUGUGAAGGAGUCUUCACAACCUGACAGUUGACUUUCUCCUUGCUGAGACUGUUUCUACCAUUUCUUGCACUCUGUUCAAUCAUGGUAUUUCAUGUGGGCAUGUACAUGCUGUGUUGGUCCAUUUUUCUUUUGGAUCCUGGGUUGCAGGUUAAAGAAAAAAAGGGUAGUUGAACUGGAAACAGAAAAUGCUAUUCUGACCCUGAGAUCCGCAUAGGUAAUCUCUGUCCUGUAGACUGAUUGACUGAUGAGACACAUGUGAGUGUUAGCUUUGCGGAGACUACUGUAGUUGUAAAAGAUGGAAAGGACUGCGGCUUUCCUUUGACGGCUGGUCCCCUCCAGUGAGAUUGCCACUUAGUGUGUCAUCCAGUAGUGGAACAGAGAUUAAUCCUAAAUCUUUCUUCCUCGUGCUCAGAAGUAUUUAAGGAAUAAUGCUUUAAUGAUACAUCCAACAGCUGGUCCUGGACAGCUGUGUUGUACUGUUUAUGCACCAUGAUUCACCCACAUUAAUUUUAAUUGAUGUAUAGAUAUAGUAGUCACCUCCAACCCCCAAAUACUUGGUCUCAAUAAGUGCAAACCCAGGUCAUCAGAUAUGGUUUCUCAGACACCCCACAGCACGCUGCACUCCGAGUGGGAUGCUGCACAGUUCAGAUGCAGACAUUUCCAGUGUGGCUGGGUGUUCAGUGUGCCCUUCAUCUCCUCACAGGCUCUUCUGACACAACCUCCACUGAAACUCCAGUUGUUUCCUUUCCUUGGACUUUUGUUUUGAAGUAUAGUGCUCUUUUUUCAGGUCCUGAUUCUAGAAGGCAUUGAAUCCCCUGCAGACACACAGUCUGUCUUGUCUUAAACUGGUACGUGUGUGUGUGUGUGUGUGUGUGUGUGUGUGUGUGUGUGUGUGUGUGUGAGUGUGUGUGUGUGUGUAUGUGUGUGGAGUUGUAGUAGUAGUAGUAGUAGUAGUAGUAGUAGUAGUAGUAGUAGUAAAUGAAGUUCCACAGACCAAGACAACAACUCAGGAUACAGAACCCCCUGCAAGAGAUCCUCAGCUGAAAACAUGGAAUUCAGGAGGGACUGAAGACAGCUGACGUGCAACAUGAUGCUAAUCUUACUAAGAUCGUCAACUUUUCACCCAAUACCUGUGAAGCUAGAGUAGCUCAGAACACACUGAGAAGUGUAGAGAGAAAGAAUUCCAUGCCUAUUUUCCUCUGCCUAUGAGAAAUAGGUUUCAGGACCGUAAAUAGUUUUUGAGGGUAAGUUUCUCUUUUAUAAACACCAGUCUUUUUCUCUUAUAUACUACUUUAAAAUUAUUUAUUUUUAUUUCACUUGCUUUUGUGUUUUACCUGGAUGUGCAUCUGUGUGUGGCUGUCAGAUAUCCUAGGAAGUUUGUUGUGUAUGGGCAAUUCCAUGUAAAACAGAACAAAGAGGAAAUGCAACAUCAACAGUAGCAAUCAGGUCUCUCUCCUUAGGCCCCUGUGGAUGUAGCUGCCCUUGGGACUGACAGAGUCUUCUUUGUUAAUGCAUGCCAUACACUGAGCUACAGCUGUGAUGGCUCCUAUCCUAUGGCUACCACAGCACCUGAAUCUUGCCCUAUCUCCAGGAUACCUGCAUCCAGCCUUGUCUCCAGGCAAACAUGCUGAGGAAGAAACAUUAGCCACAUGUAAACAAUGUGGGAUUUGUAAGUACACAAAGAAUAUAUUUUCCCUAUCAAAUAUGCAUUAUAAAAGGAGGAUAGCAUGAAGGAGAGAGAUGCUAUAGACUAGGACUCCAGUUACACAGUGGUUUCCAUAUGGAUUUGUCAGACAUGACUAGGAAGGGUGUUGGGAAUCUGUGCAGACUUAGACAAACACAAAUGCUUUUCUGUAAUGGGAUCCAAGAGGAAAACAGGAUCAGAUGAAAGAUCCUUACCCAAGGAUGACCUCUCUUCAGUGAGAAGGCCAGAGUUAUGUGUGGCUUCCAUUUCAAGAUCUCGGGUGGAAUGUGUGAGUCAGGUGUCCUUGUGCCUGCUGUUCUCCAGUGCUUUUAACAAGAAGGCUUCCUCCUUCAAAAUGGCAAGCUUGAGUGUGGCAAGGUCUCUCCCUUCUGUGGUUGGAUUAUGGUUGUCCAACAAGGGUGUACAUGAGUAUAUGUGCACUGUGUGUAUUAUGUAGUGCCCAUAAAACCCGAAGAGGGUAAGAUAUUCUAGAUCUUGAGUUGCACAUGACUGUGAGCUGACUUGGAAGUGUUGAAAAUAAGUGAAGGUCCUCUGCAAAGGCAGCCAGUGCUCUCAAACCCUGAGCGAUCUCUCUAGUUCCUGCUCUGAAGGUUUUCUGAUGUCCUGUUGAUUACUGUCUGCUCCACCAGCCUGUUCCACAGGAAUCAGUCUUAUGAUUGUGUAGCAUCACAACACCAAAAAUAGUUUAAUCUCUGACUGGAUGCCUUUAAUGAUUUUACAAAUGAUAAAAAUUGACUAUAUUUGUUUUUGAAUAUUAACAGUGCCUCUGGAACUAAACUCAGAUCAUCAGCUAUUCCUUUCACCUCUGAACAAUCUCAAAAGCUCACACUGUAUAUUCUGUUCUGUCCUCAGUAUACCAUGUAUUUCUGUAAUCACCAGCAUUGUUAAAGCAAGCCAAAUGAGAUUUCUAAAAUCUUCAGAUUUUGAAAUUUACAUUCACACAUAGCUUGUGCUACACAUCAUUAAUCCCCCCUUUCAGGAGAGAGCAGGUCUCGUUACUUCAAAACCACCUUUGUGUACAGGGUGAGUUUUAGGACACCUUCAGUUUGUGGUGACACUCUGUCUCAAAUUAACCACACAACAACAACAACCCAACCACACUCACACAGAAACACAUGCAUGGAACACACACACACACACACACACACACACACACACACACACACACAGAGCACUGUCCAAUUGCUACCGUUCUCAUUCCUAAAGUGAACUUUCAGUGUAACUGUACUUUAACCUCAACUUCCUCAGUCCUUCCAGUCUGCAGGCUUCUCUUAAACCCUGAGGAAUUGGCAACUGACAUGAGACCGGUUUCUACUUCCUGGUGGGGUAAUUGGUUUGUGUUGUUUUGUUAUUUUGUACUCCCUUAGCAGACCUCCCUAGGCUCUGAGAAGAUUCCAUUCACUUCCUUCAGAGGACUUUAGUGUUUUUAAGUCAUACUCAACAAAGUAAGAAACCAUUUGUUCUGACUGCAGCAUUUAGGAUCAUGUUGAAUAGGUACCAGCAGAAUGUACGCUGUUUAAGAAGUAGGUCUGUGGGUUAGGACUAGGUGUAAUUUCAUCUGCUGAGUGAAUGAGUGUUUGCUUCAUGUCCUUGCCCCUUUCGCCUUCUGUGGUAUUUUUAUUCCUGAAGACUAAAGGGUUUGAGUUUGGGUUGGAUCCUUCUGUGAUUUCAGUGUCCAAUACCUCUAGACCUAUACUGUAAGUGUGACCAGAUUAACAGGGCUGUUGAUUUUCCAUGGAGAUGCUUGUUUACAUUUUUACUUAAUCCACAUCUUAUGUGAAAGAGGAGGGAGAGCAGCUUGCUGGCUCUGCAGCAACACACAAAGACCCAGAGUGAAGGUUCUCUCUGUUACUGAUUCGAAUUCCUGAAUCACCAUGACAUUUUGCAUGAGCUAUCCUCCACUGUCUCGGGCAUUUGAGUACUCCUUUCCCAGUUGGUGACUCUGUUUGGGAAGAUUCAGGAGGUGUGCCCUUGCUGGAGAAAGAAUGUCAGCGGGGCUGGGCUUUGAGGUUUUAGUGCUUUUGCACCACUCCCAAUGCACCAUCUGCUUUGUACUUGUGAUUCUAGAUGUCAUACCUCAGCCUCCUCCUCCUUCCACCAUGCCCUGUAGUCAUGGAACUUAACCUCUGCUAACACACGUUCUCUGAAAUAGAAUCACUAAUGUCCUACUUGUUUUAUAGUUUGCUGUGCUCAUGGCAUUUCUGUCACAGAAAUGCAAAUGUAACUAAUGCAGAAGGUGACUUAAUGGAGUGGACUCUUGCUGUGUGACACCUGACGAUGCCAGGUUGUACUUGUUUCUUGUUUUGGGAAAUGUGUAAGAAUUCCAAUGCUCUAAGAUGAGUUUAAUGGGCUACACUGGCAAGAACUUGGGAGUCAGGAGUGCCAAGAGCUAUUCAGACUGUGGAAGCCCAGGAGAAGGGGAUUCAGAAGGAAAAAAAAUGUUUGUAACUGGUCUAGGAUAAUUCCUAUGAGGCUUUUACAAAAAUGUGGCUUCCUUUCUGCCCACAUCCUAAAAACUUACUUGAGGCUAAAUUCAAAAGUAAUAAACAAAUUUCUUUGAUGAAAAUUUGAAGAGAGCCCAGUAUGGCCUCUGUCAUACUGUGCUUAUACUCUUCAAUGAAAAAUAGCAAAUGGGGCAAAAAGAAAUACAAAAUGUACAGUUUACAGAGAAAAAGACACUGGGAAGACUAAUAUUAUAGCCAAUGCCUAUACCAGAAGAGAGCCUGAAAUUGCUUGGAGAUUAGCAUCUUAAUAAGAGGCCAUGUCUCCUCAGGUGAAGACAUCACUCAACUAACUUAGUAAUCUGUGGUAGAAAAUGACUUACUUAGAGUUUUCCUGCUAUUAACAGACACCAUGACCAAAGCAACUCUUAUAAGAAGAACAUUUAUUUGGGUUUGGCUUACAAGUUCAGAAGUUUGGCUCAUUAUCAUCAAGGUAGGGGCAUGGCAGCAUCUAGGCAGACAUGUUGCAGGAGGAGCUGGGAGUUCUACAUCUUCAACUGAAGGCUGCUACUAGAAAACUGAUUUUCAUGCAGCUAGGACAAGGAACAUAAGGGUCACAUCUACAGUGACACACUUCCUCAAUCAAGGCUACACCUAUCCAAUGAGGGCUCAUCUGCAAAUAGUCCCACUCCCUGGGCUCAGCAUAUUCAAAUCAACACAUGAACAUUAGGUAUUUUUAGUUCCUGAUAUAACUUUUGAUCACAAACUGCUGCUGCUAUGGUUCAUGGGGUCCAGGUCUUCUAGAAAUCAAGCAUCUUCUCAUGUACUCUCAUCAGUCACUGGAAGUAAGGAAGCUCAAGAAAGGACUGCUGUGUGGUCUGAGACAGCUGAGAAAGUCUGCUUGAGAAGGUGUGUCAAUUUUCUUCUCUACAUGGAGAUAGUAUGGAGGUUACCUGACCUUAUCUGGCCAGUUUUCAUGUUUGGAACCCCUGGACCCUAUUCAUUGUCAGGUAGGAAAGUGUCAUUUGGCACUCAAUGACAACUUGUGCCUAUCGUGUACCCAAUGUUGAUAGAUGACUUAAGAAUGUAGGUUUGAAAGGUGUCCAGUUCUAUCUGGGAAGGAGAACAGCAGGCCUGAGAGGAACAGGCUUCAUGUGCAGAGGGAGGUAUCAUCUGUACGUGGGUGGGAGAAGUUUAGAGACGGUUAGUCAAACCUGUGUAUCCAGGAGAGCUCAGUUAACUGUGGAAACAAUAAGAGUAAAGGUAACUUUGAACUUGGAGGAAGAAAAGAUUUGUUGCAACUGUUUGUGGACUGUGCUUCAGAGAUGAUGAGACAUAGAGAAGCUCUGUCUUGGGUUCAUGGCACUAAGCAUGCUAGCUGAGUACUUCACAUCUUAAGUUGUGUAUGAUUUUAGGGGUCUUACACAGAGGUUAUCACCUUAUCUACCAAGAGCAUCUUGCUUUACUUCUAGCAGUCACAUGAAUUUAAAUUUCCUACUUGUUAGUGUUCUUAAAAACUCACUGAUUAGUUUUAGCUGAGCCUCCUGGGAGACUUUGCUCUUAAGUGCUGUAAGUUUUACAUAUUUGGUGAUUAACAUAAAUAACUAUACAUAGGUCAAUACAGGGCCCACACUGACAUCACCUUGCUAUCUGGAGCUGUUAGCUCCUAGGCCAAGGUUCUCAAAUGUCUCUGCCUCAGAAAGAAAUGUGGUAGUUUGAUUUCAUAAUCUACUCACAUUCCUUUUGUCACCCAGGAUAUCUGCUAGAAUGAGAGGAUUCUGUCCCAUGCAGGACAAUCUAGAUACUGUUUCCCCAGCAGGAAUGAAAGGACCACUUCCUGCCUCUCAGGGGAAGUCCCUGGUGUUCACUGUAAUGUCACCCAACAGUCCCACCUUGAAUCUGCUGUUCCACUUGAGCCUGGAGCCUCCCUUUUAUUCUGGGAGAUAAACAGGUAUCUCCAGCUAGGCAGAGUGGUUCAAACAUGAGAUUUCGUGAGGGCAGUGAGAAUGGUGUAUACACAUUGAGGGUUUCAGAUUGAAUGAUACUGAACUUAAUGUACUUCCUAUUAGAGUCAUCUGUGAGUGACAUGUGAGCUUUGUAUUAAAAUUUACUUUUACGUCCAAGAUUUCAUGGUAUGUCAAUGCCCUACUUGCUUUUGAAGAUAUCCAAGGAACUGGAUAUAAAAGAGAAAAUACAGAUCAGAAAAUGUUCCUAAGUGUACAGCACUUGUUUAGAUGUGCAAGUCCCAGUGCUCAACUCCAAGAGCACACAUUAUGCCUUAGAAAUAGAUGAUAAGUGCUCUCUCUCUCUCUCUCUCUCUCAUGAGUGUGUGUGUGUGUGUGUGUGUGUGUGUGUGUGUGUGUGUGUGUGUGUGCUUGUAUAUGUAUGUGAGAACCUGAAGGUGAGCCCAGGGUCUGCGUGGUCCAGUUGGUACAAGGAUCCCACAUUGUUUGACUCUCAUGUAGACAAGUAUAAUGUUGUUGGGGUGACCAGCAUAUAAACAUUGGGACCAGAGAGAACUAUUUACAAAGCCAACAGUUUUGACUGAUUUAUGUGAAUUAGGGCAGAUUUGAGAGCACACUUAAGAGAUUUAAACUGUGUUUGAGAAAAUUUUAUAUAUAAAUAUACAUAUAUAUAUAUGUAUACACACACACACACACACACACACACAUCAUAUCCCUGUACACCCCUUGGUUGGUGGUCUAUUUACUGGAAGCACUGUGUGGUCCAGCCAGCAUAUGUUGUUCUUCCUAUAUCGCAAGACCUCCUCAGUCACAGGACAUCCAUUGUUUAAGCACCACCACUACCUCAGGAAGUCCACUGUCUGUGUGUCAACUCCACUGUUACAGGACUUCAGGUGUCUCAGUAUCUCAACUAUCACAGGACUUCUACUGUGCCGGAGCUCAAGUGUCUUACAACGUCCAAUGUCAUAAGAUCAUCAGUGUCACAAGAACUCCAUUGUCUGAGGAACUGCACUGUCCAAACAACACUAUGAUUGCAGGACUUCCACUGUGGAAACACCUCUACUAUAGUAGGGCCUCCACUAUCCAUAUAUCAACUCGACUGUCACAGAUCACCCAUUGCUGCAGGACCUCCACUGUCACAGGACCUCCACUGUAGGAGCACUACAACUGUCGCAGGAUCUCCAGUGUCUUAUAACCUGCUCUAUCCCAGGACUUCCACUGUUGUAGCACCACCAUGGUCACAGCAACUACACUGUUUCAGGACAUCAACUGAAGCAGGACCUCCAAUGAUGCUCCAACUUCUCUGUCACGUGAUCUCUACAGUUACAGGAAUACUCCUGUAUCAUCAAUUCCAAUAGCUGGACCUCAGUUGUCACAGGACCUCCACUGUAGCCGAACCUUCAAUUUUGCAGCACCUCCACUGUAGGUAGAAUGACCUCCCCUAUCGCAGUGCCUCCACUUUCAAAGGACCUUCACUGUCACAGAACCUGCACAAUUUCAGUGCCUCUGCUGUUGCAGGACCUACCUCUUCACAGGAUCUGCACUGUUGCAGCAACUCUAAUUGCACUUUUACAAAGGCAUUACUGGUUAUUAGAUUUGAGGCUGAAUGGAAUGUGAUGUUACUUUCGCAAACAUAAGAAUUUGUUCUGUGCCUCUUGUGAUUAAUGCCACAUGUGCUAGGACCAGUAACUUAUGGAAAGAUUCCAUGAGGUCAUAGCACUCUCCACCUCACCUUGUGGAAACUGGUGUUUUCAGAGGAUGAUAAACUUCAGGUGAAGGGAUGCAGUCAGCAAGACCACGCUCUAGAGUGGGGUACACAGCGGUCAUAUUGAGUCCCUGCUGGGAAGAAAUCCAGAAGAGGGAGAAGGCUUGGGUUAGAGGAAGAAUCGUAAAAUAUUUAGAGAAUAUAAGAAGGUAAGAAUUAUGGGGAACUGGAAAACAGAGACAGAGGAAGAAUGAGCACAGAGCAAACUGGGAUGGACAAAGCACAAAUGUACCUGGGUUGUGCCUUCUGCAUGUUCUCUGGACGAUCGCCUUGUGCCUCAUUUAUGGGAGAACACUCUCUUCUCCCCAUAUAAAGUUUGUUUCUUGAAAGAAAGCAGCAACACAACUUCAUCAGUGAAUUCCCUAUUGAAAUUUGUUCGUUCCUUCAAAGCCUCUGGGAAGGCCCUAGCUGGGGAAAGUCCUCUCUGCUGAGAAACAGCAGGAAAGUAGGUUGUCCUCUGUGUUCUCAUUGCUACUGCUCUUCUAAGUGUGGUUGAUUGUUGAUUGAAGACACAGGGCACUUCCAGCAUGUAUGUAUGCUUUAUUCAGUGUGGGUGGCAUUGGCUGUAUCCUGAAAAGAAGGGCAGACCCUUCUGCCUCCUCUUUGACUAGGCUUAAGAUCACAGUCAGACACUUAACCAUUGGAAGAUGAGACCAAUGUGUCUACAGUGUACUCACUUCUAUUCCUCUUUAGUCCUAGAGGGAAAUUAGUGCCAUCAGCAAGGGUGGGGAAUGGGGCCCUAACUGGACAAACUUGCUGAGCCUGGGUUAUGCAGCCAUGCCGGUGAAUAGCUUCCCCUUACAUUAAGUAAUAAGAUGCCAUGCUCUGGUUGUACCUUCCCUGAUACAGUGAAUCUAUAAUCUCUUGGCCUCAAAACCCAAUAUAUUACAUUGCUUUCACAAGUGGAGUGUCUGGCAUGAGAGGGAUCAUUUCCUCAUAGGGAUUUGGGAACCACUUACAGUCUUCAUUGAGCAUGGGUGUGUCAUCACCUAUGUGACUGUUAGCCCAUAUCUGUGAUUCACUGUCAUUAGGAGGCUAAGCUGCCUCUUCUGACACCCCACAGUGGGCCGGAUACACACCACUCACAACCUGUCUCCUCAGCUCUUGUAUGACAAAAUGUAACCCUACUCCUAAGUCCAUAUGUUGGGUUUAUUUUGUUUUUGGAACAUCCUAACGUUUUCCUAGGAAGAGAUCAGGUGCACCAUUAGGAUAAGCACCAUGCUGCCAGUUCAGCAUUUGCCCAAGUUUGACUUGCCUUGAAGGCCAAAGUUGAUGAUUUUGACUUUUCCAUUCUUCUCUAACAGAAUAUAAUCUGGUUUCAGGUCACUGUGUACUUUUACAGUGCCCAUAGCCGUAGAUUAAGCCUGCUAAUAUUUACCCAAAUAUUUCCUUGACCCUGUACUCCUCUAAGGGGAAAGACUUUCAAAUGUAUUUGUAAAGCUGUAAAAUUUCAACCAGUUUCAUGAUAAGUUAUUAGACUUGUCUCAGACUCAAUUGGAGAAGCAAGAUGAUGUUGGGGUGGAUGAAAAUCUUCAUUAUAUUUGCCAUGGUCAUGUUUGGCUGGCACCAUUGCUUCUUCUUUGCAUGCACUUUGAUAACCCCUGUAGCAGAACUUCCACUGUCCCAACACCUGCACUAUCCCAAGACCUCCACAGUCAAAGGACCAAUAUUGUGGUAGGGUGUCUGUGGUCAGGCAACUUCACUGUCUCAGACCCUCCAAAUUGCAAGACCUUUACGGGCACUGGACGUUACUGUCCCUAAACUUCCACUGUUGGAGUACCUCAACUGUAACAAGGACCUCUAUCAUUGCAGAACCCCCUUGUCAUAUCACCUCUACAAUUAAAAGAAGUCCACUGACAAAUGACCUCCAGUGUCUCAGCCCCUCCACUGUUGCAGGAUCUCUACUGUCUCAGGAUCACUACUGUUGCAGGACCUCCCCUCUCUCAGCAGCUCCAAUUUGCAGGAGCUCUCCUAUCAGAGGACAUUUACAUUUUCUGUACUUCCAGUGUCACAGCACCUCAACUGUUAAAAGAAUUUCCAUACUCACAGGACCGCCAAUGUCUCAGUAACUCCACUGUCCUAGGACCUUUAUGUUAUAGGACCUCUGCUGACACAAGAUGUCCACUGUUGCUAGACUUCCACUGUCAUAACCACUCAACCAUUACAAGGACCGCAAUUUUGGCAUGACCUCCACUGUCCCAUCCCCUCCAGUGUCAUAGGACCUCCACUCUCACAGGAUAAUGCACUGUCUCAGCAAGGCCAAUUUUCAGGACCUCUACUAGGACAGGAUAUCCAUGGUAGCUGGACGUACAAUGUUGAAGUACCUCAACUGUUGCAGGACCCACAGCGUUGCAGGACAUGGACCCUCUCAGCUUCUAGAAUUUGCAGGACCUCUACUGGCACAGAAAUCCCACUGUUGCUGGAGAUCCACUGUCAUUGAAAAUGCAUUGUCUCAUGAUAUUCACUGUUGCUGGACCAAUAGUGUGGCAGCACCUCCAUUUUAUCCAAACCCCUCCACUGAUGCAGGAUCUCCACUUUUGUCGUACCUUCACUGUCCAAGCAAACCAACUAUUUCAGGAUCUCCAGUGUCUCAGGGCAUUCACUAAUGCCCGUCCUCCAACGUUGUAGGAUAUCCACUUUCUCAACAGCUACACUUUGGCAGGACCUCUAUUGGCAGAGAAAGUCCACUGUUGCUGGACCUCCACUGUCAGUGCAAAUGCACUCAUUCAGGACCUCUACUUUUCUAAGGACCUCUAAUAUUGCAGGACCUCUAAUGUCCCAGGACCUCAAGUGAUGCAGCACCUCCUUUGUCCCAUCACCUUUACUGUCCCAGAACCUCCACUUUCCCAAGACCUAUUCUGUUGCAGGGCCUCCAAAGUUGGAAGAACUGCACUGUAUAAAGACCUCAACUAUUGCAGGACCUCCAUCAUUUUAGGAACACAAAAGUUACACUGUCCAUCACCUUCAUUCUCCUAGCACCUCCACUCUCACAGGACCUACACUGUUGGCAGGAACUCCAAUGUCUAUGCAACUGCACUGUCUCAGGACCUCAAUGUUCCAGAACCUCCAAUGGUGCAGGACCUCCACUGUCAUGGACCUCCACUGUCUCAGGACAUCCACUCUAUCACCACCUAGACUUUUGCAGGACCUCUACUGGCCCAGGAUCUCCAUUGUUGCUGGUCUUACAUUGUCUAAAGACCUCUACUAUCACAGAAAUGCCACUGUUGUAGAACCUUCACUGUCACAGGGCCUCCACUGUCCAAGACCUCCACUGUUGCAGAACAUCCACUCUUGCAGCAUGUGCAUUGUCUCCUGACCUCCACUACAGCAGUCAAAUCUCCACUGUAUCGUGACUUCCACUCGUGCAGGUCUUCCAAUGUUGCAUGACCUCCAAUGUGAAAGUAACUCCACUAUCUCAGUGCCUCCACUGUUACAGGACCUACACUGUCAGAGGAUCUGCACUGCUGCACCAGCUCCACUGUCACAUUUUUGAAAGCAUUGCUUGUUGUUAGUGUUGAGGCUUCAUGAAAUGUGAUGCUACCUCUGAAAAGUUAAGAAUUUCUUCUUCAGCUCUUGUGAUUAAUGUCCAGAUGUGCUAGAUCAGUAGCGCCUAGAAAACUCAAUGAGCCGAUAGCCUUCGAAGCCUCACCUUGUGGGUUCUGUUGUCUUUUGGGAGUGCUAAAGUCCAGGUGAAGGCAUGCGGUCAGAAGGAUAACUCUAGUGUGGGGUACACAUCAGUUGUGUUGAGUUCCUGCUGGGAAGGGUAGAAAUCCAGAACUGAAAGAAGGCUUAGGGUGGAGUAAGAAUCAUACAAUGCUAGAAUAGGUGAAACAGAAACAAUUUUGCAGAAAUGGAAACCAGAGACACAGGAGGAACCAGCACAGAACAAACUGGGUAGGACAAAGCACAAAGGUACCUGCGCUGAGCCUGCCUGCUGCUUGUUCUUUGGAUGUACUCUAGCCUUUAUUUCUCAGGAGAGACACUGUGCUGUCCCAGGAGAGUUUUCUUGCUUGAUUGAGCACAGGAAUACUGCUUGAUUUGGAUAUUCCUAAUUUCUUGGUCCACCCUGUAAAUCAUCUGAGCAUGCUCCUGCUUGGGACAGUCUUGCCCUCUCCUGAGGCCCAGAGGGAUAAUAGGAUGUCUUCUGUGGUUUCAUUGCUGCUUUCGUUCUCCCUGAGGCUGCUUGUUGACUGAAGGCAGAAGACACCCUGCCAUGUAUGUUUUGUCCAGUGUGCUGUCACCUGGAGUGGCCUGAAGAAAAGUCCAGUCCCAGUGGUUCUUCUGAAUCUUCUAUGACUAGAGUUAUGGGCAUAGGCAUAAACGAGGCCAUGGGGAAUGACAAGUUCAAUGUGCCAAUGGUGGUUUGGUUUCCACUCCUCUGAAGUCCUAGAGGGAAAGCAGCAUAAUCUUUAAGCGUAGGGAAUGGAGCCCUAACUGGACUCAAUGAGGGAGCCUGGUUGUGAAGACAGCACCUGGAUAGCCUGCCCUUUCAGUAAGCCAUUGGACGCCAUUAUCCGUUAAUAAUUUUUUUUUGAUUUAAAGAAUCUUUAUUUCUUGGGCUUAGAACUGAAUAUAUUACAUCACUUCCACAAUUCUAGGGUGUGGCCUGAGGUAUCAUUUCCUCAUAGGGAUUUGGGAAACCCUCCCAUUAUUUGAAGCAAGGUUGCAUUAUGAGGUUUGUGACUGUCAGCCUAUAUCUGGGGUUUACUGUGAUUAAGAGAUAAUGAUGAUGGUUGACCAUCAUAAACGUUGACAAAGAGGAGUUCAGGGGCAACAGAAGUGUAAGCACCACAGUGGUGCUUCAGCAUUUGCCCUGGUUCAACUCGGGUACUAAGGCGAAAUUCGAUUAUUUUGUUUUUUUCCAUUAAUAUCCAAGAUAAAUACUAUUUGGCUUCAGGUCCCUGUGAAAUAUUGUGUGCCCAGGGCAGUAGUUCAUCACUGCUAAUAUUUGCAAUAUAUUUUACUGACUUGUCCUGCUUUAGGUAGCCAUACUUUUGGAUGUAUUUGUAAAACUGUUGAGCUUCAACAAGCUCCAAGACAAGAUAUAAUAUUGUUUUGGUCUCAAUUAUUUGAAGAAGCCACGUGAUGUUGGGGUUGUCACCCAUCAUCAUCACUGCCAUGGUCAUUACUGGCUGGCAUUAUUAUUUCUCCAUUACAAGGACUUUGACAGCCACUGUCACAGGACCUAAUCUGUGGUAGAACCUCCACUCUCAGGCAACUCCACUUUCUCAGGACCUCCAAAUUGCAGGACCUCCCCUGGCAUAGAAUGUACAUUUUUGCAGGACUUUCACUCUUGUAGCAACUCAACUCUUAAAAGACAUCCACUUUAGCAAGAUUUCCAGUGUCUUAGCACCUCCCUUCUUGAAGGACCCCCACUAUUGUAGGACCUCCACUGUUGCAGCACAUCCAUUCUCUCAGCAUCUAGAAUUUUGCAGAAUGUCAACUGGCAUAGAAAGUCCACAGUUGCUGGUUCUUCAAUGUCAUGAUAAAUCCACCGUAUCAGGACCUUCACUGUUGCAGGACCUCCAGUGUUGAAGCACAUACACUGUUUCAGGGCCACCACUAUCACAGGACCUUCUCUGUCACAGGAUCGCCACUCUCUCAGCACUUAUGCAGUCACAGGACCUUCAUUGCUUUGGACCUCCACUCUUGGAGAACCUCCACUGGUCAAGCACAUCCACUAUCUCAGAAACUCCAGUGUCUCGGGACAUUCACUGUUGCAGGAUCUCCCAUGUCUUAGCACACUUAUUUUUGCAGGACCUCCACUCUCGCAGACUCAUCUCUACUGUCUCAGGACCUACACUAUAACUGUUGGACCUCUAAUGUCACAGGACCUCAAAUGACACUGGAUCUCCACUGUCCAAUCACCUUAACUGUCCCAACUCCUUCACUGUCGCAGGACCUACACUGUUGCAGGACCUCCAAUAUCGGACCAAUUUCCUGUCUCAGGGACCUCCAAUGUUGCAUGACCUCCACUGUUAAAAGAUAUCCACAGUUGCAGAAUAGCUAGUAGAGUUUUGCAGGACCUGUAGUGGCCCAGGACCUCCAUUGCUGAUGGUCCUCCACUGUCUCAGUACCUUAACUAACACAGGACCUCCACUGUUGCAGCACCUCCACUGUCCUAGGAUGUCCACUAUUGCAGACAACCUCAGUCUUAAGUACCUCCAUUUUUGAAGGACCUCCAUGGUGCAGGACCCCCACUCUUAGAGUGCCUCCAUUGUUGUAGCACCUCCACUGUCCCAGCCUCAUCUCCACUGUCUCAGGACCCAUAUUAUUGCAGGAUCUCCAAUGUUGCUGGACUUCUACUGUUGCAGUACCUCCAGUGUUGCAGGACCUACACCGUAGCAGGAUCUGCACUGUUGCACCAAUUCUACUUUCACAUUUUGUUGACAUUGCUGGUUAUUAGAUUUGAGUCUUAAUGGAAUGGGAUAUUACUUUUGAAAACACAGGAAUUUUUUCUGCAUCACAUGUGAUUGAUGACCACAUAUUCUAGGACUGAUAUCCCCUGGAAGAUUCCAGGAGCCCUUAGUCCACCAGUCUUCACCUGGUCAGAGGUGUUGUGUUUUGGGAGAAGUUGAAUCCAGGUUAAGGGAUGGGAUCAGCAGGACACAGUUCUGUAGAGUGGGCUACAUAUCAGUCAUAGUGAGUCCCCUCUGGGAUGAGUAGAAAUCCAGAACUGAGAAAAUGCUAUUACAGGACCUCCAUUGUCUAAACACCUCCACUAUUGCAGAACCUCCACUGUCCAUACAUCAACCAGCUCCACUGUCCCAGAGCCUGAGAUGUUGAAGAAUCUCCACUGUCACAGGACCUCCAUUGCUGCAGGACCUCCACUGUCACAGGACCUCCAAUGACUCAGCAACUACACUUUUGUAGGACCAGCAUUGGCACAGGAUAUGCACUGUUGGCAGGCCCUCCACUAGCCUAUAACCUCCACUGUCCCAGAACUUCCACUGUUGUAGCACUACCAGGGUCAAAGCAACUACAGUGUUUCAGGACAUCAACUGAAGCAGGACCUCUAAUGAUGCUGCAACUUCACUGUCACAGGAUCUCUACAUUUACAGGAAUACCACUGUGUCAGCAAUUACAAUUUUGCAGGACCUCAGUUGUCACAGGACCACCGCUGUAGCCAAAUCUUCAAUUGUGCAGCAUCUCCACUGUAGGUAGAAUGACCUCCCCUAUCGCAGUGCCUCCACUUUCAAAGGACCUUCACUGUCACAGAACCUGCACUAUUUCAGUGCCUCCACUGUUACAGGACCUACCUCUUCAAAGGAUCUGCACUAUUGCAGCAACUCUAAUUACACUUUUUCAAAGGCAUUACCAGUUAUUAGAUUUGAAGAUGAAUGGAAUGUAAUGUUACUUUUGAAAACAUAAGAAUUUGUCCUGUAUCAUUUGUGAUUAAUGGCCACAUGUGCUAGGACCAGUAACCUAUGGAAGAUUCCCUGAUCUGAUAGCUCUGUAGCCCUCAUCUUGUUGAAGCUGUUGUGCUUAGAGGGUCAUACAGUUCAGGUGAAGGGAUUGGAUCAGCAAUACAACUCUGUGGAGUGGAGUACAAUUAAGUCGUAUUGAGUCCCAGCUGGGAAAAGGAGAAAUCCACAAGACAGAGAAAUCUUGUGGUGGAGGAAGAAUCGUGAAGUACUUAGAGAGUAUAAGAAGGUAAGAAUUGUGGGGAAAUGGAAAACAGAGCCAAAGGAAGAAUGACCACAAAGCAAAGUGGGAGGGGUAAAGCACAAAGGUACCUCGGUUGUGCCUUCUGCUUGUUCUCGGGCUGCUCUCGCCAUGCCUCAUUUCUGAGAGAACACUGUUCUGCCUCAUGUAAGGUUUCUUUCUUGAUGUAAAGCAGAAACACAACUUGAGGGAUUCUCUCAUCUUCUUGGUCCAUCCUUUAAGUCCUCUGGGAAGGCCCCAGCUGGGGAAAGGCCUGCUCUCAGCUGACAAACACCUGGAGAAUAGGUUGUCCUUUAUGUUCUAAUUGGUGCUGCUCUUGUAAGUGUGUCUGCUUGCUGAGUAAAUGCAGGGGAAACCUCUGUCAUGUAUAUAUGCUUUGUCCAGUGUGGCUGUCAUCGGAAGUGUCCUGGAGAGAAGUGCAGUCCAGUGACUCUUCUGCUUCCUUUUGACUAGCCUCAUUAUUAUAGGCAGACAUUAGACCCUUGGAAGAUGAGGAGACCAAUGUGUCUAUGGUGUUCUCACUUCUACUCCUCUUCAGUCCUAGAGGGAAAUCAGUGCCAUCACCAGGGGUAGGGAAUGUUGCCAUAACUGGACAAACUUGCUGACCUUGGGAUCUGCAGCAAUGCCCAUAGAGAGCCUGCCCUUACAGUAAGCAAUGGGAUGCCACGGUCUGGUAAUAUUUUCUUUGAUGUAAUAUAUCUAUAAUAUCUUAGGCUCAAAACCCAAAAUAUCCAAUUGCUUCCACAUUAGCAGUGUCUGGCGUGAGGGGGAUCAGUUCCUCCAAGGAUUUGGGAACCAAUUCCAGUCUUCAUUGACCAGGGGUACAUCACUACUUCUAUGACUAUCAACCCAUAUCUGGGGUUGACUGCCAUUAAGAUGCUACACAGAUCUCCAGCUCUUCGGACAUCCCACAGUGGGCAGGAUACACACCGGCCACAACAUGUCUUCUCACCUUUUUAUAACAACUGAGUCAAAUCCUACAACAGUGAAAUAUAAGCCUACUCCUUAACUCAAAUAUUGUUCUUUGUUCCAUUACAAUGUUUGCCUAGGAUGUAAUAACAGGCAUCAAAAUUGUAAACACCGUAGUGCCAGCUCAUCGUUAUCUCAGGUUCAACUUUGGUAGGAAAGGCCAAAGUUGAUGAUUUUGACUUUUCCGUUCUUGUGUAACAAAAUAUCACUCGAUUUCAAGUCUCCGUGAACUACACCGUGCCCAUCACAGUAUAUCGAGUCUGCUAAUAUUUGCCUAAAUAUUUCCCUGACCUUGUCUUCCUCCUGGUGGCAAGACUUUCAGAUGAAUUUGUAAAGCUAUAGAAUUUCAACCAGCUCCAUGAGAAGGUAUAGAUGUGUCUCAGACUCAAUUACUUGGUGAAGCAAUAUGAUAUUGGUGUGGAUGAAUAUCUUCAUUAUAUUGGCCAUGCUCUUGUCUGACUGGCACCCUUGCUGCUUCUUUGCAUGCACUUUGAUAACCACAGUAGCAGGACUUUCACUGUCCCAGUCACUGCACUAUCCUAAGACCUCCCUUGUCACAGGACCUCCACUGUGGUAGUACCGCAUCUGUCAGGAAACUCCAGUCUCAUUACCUCCAAACUGCAAGAUCUCUACUGGCACAGGAAUUGUACUGCCCCUGGACUUCCACUGUCACAGCACUUCAACUGUUACAAGGACCUCUACUGUUGUAAGACCUCCUAUAUCACAGCACCUCCACGGUGACAAGGACCUGCAUUGUCAAAAGACCUCCAGUGUCUCAGCCCCUCCACUGACUCAGGACUUUCAAAUUGCAGGAACUCUACUAGCACAGGUCAUCCACAGUUGCAGUUCCUCAACUGUUAUAAGGACCUCCAUUGUUGCAGAACCUUCAGUGUCCCUGCACCUUCACAGUCUCAGCAACGCCAACUUGCAGGACCUCUACUAGCACAGGAUGUCCACAGUAGGUAUACUUACACUGUUGCAUUACCUCAAUUGUUGCAGGACCUCCGAUGUGGUAGGACAUCCACAUUUUCCGCAGCUAGACUUUUGCAGGACCUCUACUGGCCCAAAAAAAUUCCUCUGUUCUGGACCUCCACUGACAGUGCAAAUGCACUGUCUCAGGACCUCCACUGUUGCAAGACCUCCAAUGUUGAAGGAUGUCCAUUGUUUUAGGACAUUCCCUGUCAAAGAACCUCAACUGACACACAACCUCUGCUUUUGUAGGUUUUUCACUGUCCUAGAAAACCAAGUAUUGCAGGAAUUAUAAACUUGGAGCAGCUGCAUUGUAAUAGGACAUUUACUCUUGCAGGACCUGCAGUGUGGUUGCACCUCCAUUUUAGCCAGGUCUCAACUGUACCAGGCUCAUCUCUGCUGAAUCAGCUCCUCCAACACUGCAGAACAUCCAAUAUUUCAGGUUCUCAAACAUCCCAGGACCCCAAUUGAUGAAGGACUUCCAAUGUUGCAGGACCACAAUAGUCACAGGUCCUCCACUGUCCCAUCACUUUUAUUUCCCCCAGCACCUCCACUCUCACAUGGCCUACAAUGUUGCCUAACCUCUAAUGUCUGAGCAACUACACUGUCUCAGGACCUCGAUUGUUCCAGAACCUCCAAUGGUGCAGGACCUCCACUGUCACCAGAUCUCCACUGUCUCAGAACAUCCACUCUAUCACCGACUAGACUUUUGUAGAACCUCUCCUGGCAAAGCAUCUCCAUUGUUGCCAGCCUUACAUUGUCUCAAAACCUCCACUAUCACAGGAGUGCCACUGUUGUAGAACCUCCACCGUCACAGACCUCCACUGUUGGAGGACCUCCCCUGUCUAAACACAUCCACUAUUGCAGGACCUCCACUGUCCAAGGAAUUCCGCUGUUCCAGGACAUCCACUCUUGCAGCACCUGCAUUGUCUCUGGACUUCCACUGUACCAGUCCCAUCUCCAAUGUCUCAGGACCUCCACUCUUACAGGACCUCCAAUGUUCACAACCUCAAAUACAAAACUGCACUAUCCCAGUGCCUCCACAGUUGCAGGCCCCAAACUGUCUCAGGAUCUGCACUGUUUCAUUAAUUCCCCUGUCCCUUUUUUGAAAGCAUUGCUGGUUAUUAGUUUUGAGGCUUAAUGGAAUGUGAUGGUAUUUUUGAAAAAAUAACAAUUUUUCCUGCACAUCUUGUGAUUAAUUACCAGAUGUGCUAGGAUCAGUUGCCCCUAGAGGUGUGCACGAGCCCACAGCCCUCUAGACCUCACCUUGUGGCAGCUGUUUUGUUUCGGGGGUGUUACAGUCCAGGUGAAGGCAUGGGGUCAGCAGGACAACUCUGUAGUCCGGGGUACACAUCAGUCACAUUGAGUCCUUGCUGGGAAAAGGAGAAAUCCAGAAGAGGGAGAAGGCGUGGGGAGGAGGAAGAAACAGACAGUACUUACAGAAGUUAAAUGGAAACUAUUUGCAGAAAUGGAAACCAGAGACACAGGAGGAAUCAGCACAGAGCAAACUGGGCAGGACAAUGCACAAAGGUACCUGGGCUGUGCCUGCCUGCUGCUUGUUCUUUGGAUGCUGUGUCUAUCCCUCAUUUCUCAGGACAGACACUGUCCUGUCCCAGGGGAGUUUUCUUGCAUGACGAACAAAAGAACACUGCUUCAUUUGGAUAUUCCUAAUUUCUUAGACCAUCUCUUAAAUCCUCUGGGCCAGGCCAUGCUGGGGACAGACUUGCCUACUCCAGAGGCACAGAGAGAUAAAAGCAAAUGGUAAUCAUCAUAGUGUUGGUUCUGUAUUUGCCCUAUAUCAACUUGGUUCAUAAGGCCAAAGACCAUGACUUUGACUUUUCCUUUCUUGUCCAAGAAAAUAUCAUGUAUUGUCUUCUGUGUUGUCAUUACUGCUUCUGUUCUCCCUGAGACUGCUUGUUGACUGAAGGCAGCAGACACUCUAGCAUGUAUUCUUUGUCCUGCAUGGGUGUCAUCUGGAGUGCCUGGAGGAGAAGGCCAGUCUCAGUGGUUCUUAAUCCUCUAUGACUAGCGUUAUGGACAUAGGCAGAAACGAGGCCAGGGGGGAUGACAAGUCCAAUGUGCCAAUGGUGGGUUGGUUUCCACUCUAAAGUCCUAGUGGGAAAGCAGCAUAAUCAUAAGGGUAGGGAAUGGAGCCAGUCUGAGACUGGUUGUGAAGCCAGGCACUUGGAUAGCCUGCCCUUCCAGUAAGCAAUUGGAGGCCAUGGUCUGGUUAUACUAUCUUUAAUAUAAAGAUUCUUUAUAUCUCGGGCUUAGAACUGAAUAUAUUUUAUUACUUUCCUCCCAUUCUUUGAAGCAGGAUUGCGUUAUUACAUCUGUGAUUGUCAGCUUAUAUCUGGGGUUUACUGUUAGUAAUAGAAAAUUAUGAUGGUUGACCAUAAACAUUGACAAAGAAGAGUUCAAGGGCACCAAAAUUGUAAGCACCAUAGUGCCGGUUUAGCAUUUGCCCUGUUCAAUUGGGGUACUAUGGAUAAAGUUGCUGAUUGUGGCUUUUCCAUUGAAAUCCAACAUUAUAUUAUAUGGCUUCAGGUAGCUGUGAAACAUUGUGUGCCCAUGGCAGUAGAUCAUCACUGUUGUUCUUUGCAAAAUAUUUUCCUGACCUUGUCCUGUUCUAGGUAGCCAUACUUUUGGAUGAAUUUGGAAAGCUGUUGACCUUCAACAAGCUCCAUGAUGAGACAUAAUUUUGUUUUGCUCACAAUGACUUGAAGAAGUGAGAUCAUGUUGAGGUGGUUACCCAUUAUCAUUACUGCCAUGGUCAUUACUGGCUGGCAUCAUUGCUUCUACAUUAGCAGGACUUUGAUGUCCACUAUGCAGCAACUCCACUGUGAUAGAUACUCUGCUGUCUAGGCAACUCCACUUUAUACGGAUUCCAAAUUUUAGGACAUCUAGUAGCACAGGAUGUACACAUUUGCUGGACUUUCACUGUUGCAGCAACUCAACUCUUAAGGGAUGCCCACUGUUGCAGGUUUUCCAGUGUAUCAGGCUGCCACUCUUGAAGGACCUUCACUAUUGUAGGACCUCAACUGUUGAAGCACAUCGAUUAUAUCACCAACUAGAAUUUAUAGGAUGUCAAUUGGCACAGAAAGUCCACUGUUGCAUGACCUCCAUUCUCACUGUAAAUCUACUGUCUCAGGACCUCUACUUUUGUAGGACCUCCAGUGUUGAAGGAUUUCCACUGUUGCAUGUCCACCACUGUCACAGGACCUCCUCUGUCACAGGACUUCCACUCUUCCAGGCUCAUCUCCACUGUCUCAGGACGUCUACUAUAUCUCUAGGACCUCCAAUGUCGCAGGACCUCAACUGACACUGGACCUUCACUCUCCAAUCACCUUAACUAUCAAAGAACCUCCACUGUCUCAGGACCUUCACUGUUUCAGGGCCUCCAAUGUUGGAGCAACUGAACUGCCUCAGGGGCAGGACCGCCAAUGUUCCAGGACCUCCAUUGUCACAGGGCCUCCACUGUCACAGGAUAUCAACUCUUUUAGACUUUUGCUGGACUUCUGCUGGCAUGUGACCUCCAUUGUUGAGGGUUCUCCACAGUUUCAUUACUUUUACAAUGACAGGAAUACCAUUCUUGCAGAACCUCCACUGUCCCAGGACCUCCAGUAUUACGGACUUCCUCAGUCCAAGUAGCUCCAUUAUUGAAGGACAUCUCUGGUUGCAGGACAUCCACUUUUACAGUGCCUCCAUUGUUAUAGGACACCCACUGUUCCAGCCUAAUCUCCACUCUCUCAUUAUCUCCAAUAUUUUAUGAUUGCCAAUAAUGGUGGACUUCCAUUGUUACAGUAAUUCCACUAUCUCUGUGCCUACAUUGUUCCAGGACCUACACUGACUCAUGAUAGGCACAGCUGCAUCAAGUUCACUUUCAAUUUUUAUUGACAUUGCUAGUUAUUAUAUUUGACCCUUACUGGAAUGUGAUGUUACUAUGUGAUGUUACUUUUGACAGCCCAAGAAUUUGUUUUUUUAGCACAUGUGACUGAUUUCCACAUGUUCUAGGACUGUUAUCCCCUGGAAGAUCACAAGAGCUCAUAUCCCUCUAUUCCUCACCUUGUGGGAGCUGUUGCCUUUCAGAGGGUAAUGCAAUUCAGGUGAAAGGAUAGGAUCAGCAAGUGAUAACUUUGUAGAGUGGGGUAUACAUCAGUCACAUUGAGUUCCUGAUGGGAAGAGGAGAAAUCCAGAACAGGAAUAACCCUUGGCAUAGAGGAAGAAUCAAACAGUACUUACAGAAGGUAAGAAGGUACCAAUUUUAAGGAAAUGGAAAUGAUAGAGGAAGAACCAGCACAGAGCCAACUGAGUAGGACAAAGCACCAAGGUACCUGGGCUGUACCUGGUCCUUGUUCUCUGCAUGCUAUCCUUAUUCCUUCUUUUUGGGGAGAAUCUCUGUCCUGCCUCUUGUGAAGUUUCUUUCUUGAUGUAAAGCCAUGACAAAGGUUCAUCAGGGAACUUCCCCCAUUUCUUCCUCCAUCUCUUAAAGCCUCUGCUCUGACACCAGCUGGUGAAUAUCUUGCACUCUUCUGAAGCACAGACAGAGAAUAUGUUGUUUUUUCUGUUCUCAUUGAUGCUGCUCUUCUCCCUGAAGCUGCUCAUUCAGUAAAUGUGGGAGACAGUGUCUUUUGUCCAGUGUUGGUGUCAUCUGGAGUGGCCUGAAGAGAAGGCCAGUCCCACUGGGUCUUCUGCCUACUCUAUAACAAGCAUUUUGGAUAAAAACAGAAGUUAGACCAUUGGAAGAUGACGAAACUAAUGUGCUGAUGCUGGGCUGGCUUCUGCUCUUCUUUAUUCCUAGAGGGAAAGCAGCAGCAGCAUCAAUGUUAGGGAAUGGUGCCAUAACUGUUCUCACUAGGUGACACUGUGUUGUGCAGCCAUGUCCCUUGAUAGCCUGCCCUUGCAGUAAGCAAUAGGAUGCCAUGGUCUUGAUAUACUUUUUUUGGUACCUGUAGUAUCUAGGGCUUGGAACCAAAUAUAUUGUAUUGCUUCCACAAUUGCAAGUUCUGUCCUGAGUGUGAUCAGUUGCUCAUAGGGAUUUGGGAAUGCUUUUCUGUCUCUCUUGAACUAGAUUUGCAUGAUGGCAUCCAUGACUGUCAGCCUGUAUCUGGGGUUUACUCUCAUUAAGAACUUAUGCAGGUCAUCCAGCUCUUCUCAUAUCCCACAGGGGGCAGGAUUCACACAGGCUACAACCUGACUUCUCACCCCUUUUAUGACUAGUCAAAUGAAACCUCUGACUACCAUGAAAUGUAAGACUACUCAUGUCUUCCCUGUGUCAUUCUUUGGACUAUCAUAAAAUUUGCCUAGAUAGAGCUCCACGGCAGCAAAAGGUAAUCAUCAUAGUGUCGGUUCUCUAUUUGCCCUAUAUCAACUUGGUUCAUAAAGCCAAAGACCAUGACUUUGACUUUUCCUUUCUUGUCCAAGAAAAUAUCAUGUGUUUUGAGGUUUCUUUGAACUAUUAUGUGACUAUGGCAGUUGUUCAUGUCUGAUAGUAUUUACCUAAAUGUUUCCCUGGUUUUGUUCUCCACCAACUGGCCAGCUGUUCAGACGUGUCUGUAAAACUGGUGACCUUCAAGUAGCGUCAUGACAAGGUAUUGUCUUGUUUCAGACUCAAUUACUUGGAGUAGUGAAAUGAUGUUGGAAUGGUCAAAAAUCAUCAGUACAUGUGCCAUCUUCAUUACUGGCUGUCACCCUUGCUUCUUCUUUACCAGCACUUUGACAGCCACUGUAGCAGGACAUCCACUGUUCCAGUAUGGUAAUGACCCAGCACCUCCACUAUCACCGUUCUUCCACUCUUGCAGGACCUCCACUCUUGCAGGACCUCCACUCUUGCAGCACCUGCAUUUAGUCAGGACCUCCACUGUACCAGUCCCAUCUCCAUUUUCCCAGGACCUCUACUAAUGCUGGUCCUCCAAUGUUGCCUGACCUCCAAUGUAAAAGUACCUGCACUAUCUCAUUACCUCCAGUAUUGCAGGACCUACAUUGUCACAGGAUCCACACUGUUUACUAAGUCCACCGUCACUGUUUUGAAGGAAUUGCAGGCUAUUAUUUUUGAGGCGUAAUGGAAUGUGAUGUUACUUCUGAAAACUUAAGAAUUUGUUCUUCAGCUCUUGUGAUUAAUUGCCAGAUAUGUUAGGAUCAGUUGCCUCUGGAAGAUUCCAUUAGCCCAUAGUAGGCCUCUAGGCCUGACCUUGUGGGAGCUGUUGUAUUUUGGGGUGCUCUAAGUACAGAUGAAGGCAUGGGGUCAGCAGGACAAGUCUGUAGAGUGGGGUACACAUCAGUCAUAUUUAAUGCCUGCUGGAAACUAGAGAAAUAUAGAACAGCAAGAGGGCUUGGCAUAGACCAAGAAUCAUAUAGUACUUACAGAAGUUAAAAAGGAAACAAUUUUGAACAAAUGGAAAUCAGAGACACAGGAGGACCAUCAUAGAGUAAAUUGGGUAGGACUUAGCACAAAGGUACCUGGGUUGGGCCUGCAACUUGUUCUCUGGAUGCUCUCCCUGUGCUUCAUUUCUCAAAAGAGACAAGGCGUUCUGCCUCAGGUGUGAUUUCUUUCUUGAUGGAGAGCAGCAACACAUUUCAUCAGGACAUUUUUUUAUUUCUUGUUCCAUCCUUAAAGCCUUUUGGAUGGCCACUACUGGGGACAGUGUUGCCCUCUCCUUAGGCACAGAGGAAUAAUAGGUUGUCUUCUGUGUUCUCAUUGCUUCUUCUUUUCACCGUGAGGCUGCUUGUUGACUGAAGGUAGAAGACACCCUGGCAUGUAUGUUUUGUCCAGUGCAGGUGUCCUCUGGAGUGGCCUGAAGAGAAGGCCAGUCUCAGUGGUUCUUCUGAAUCCUCUAUGACUAGAAUUAUGAACAUAGGCAUAAACAAGGCUAUGGGAGAUGACAAGUCCAAUGUGCCAAUGGUGGGUUGGUUUCCACUUCUCUGCAGUUCAGGCCUAGUGCGGAAGUAGCAUACUCAUCAAGGGUAGGGAAUGGAGCCAUAACUGGAGUAACUGUCUGAGGCUGGUUGUGAAGCCAGGCACCUGGAUAGCCUGUCCUUACAGUAAUCAGUUGAAUGCCAUGAUCUGCUUAGACUUUCUUUGAUAUAAAGGAACAUUAUGUCUUGUGUUUUGAAUGGAACAUAUUGCAUUACGUCCAAAAUUCCAGGGUGUGGCUUGAGAGGUAUCAUUUCCUCAUAGGGAUUUGGGAAAUGCUCCCAUUCUUCUUUGAAGCAGGGGUGCAUUAUCAUGUCUAUGAUGGAUAUAUCUGGGUUUGACUGUCAUUAAGUUGCUAAGCAGGUCAUCUAGCUCUCUUGACACCCAACAGUGGUCAAGAUACACACCUGCCACAUGUCUUCUCAACUCAUGUAUGAAAAUAAAAGCAACAUUUCCAACUACCUUAAAAUGUAAGACUCUAGCAUUCAUAUGUGGUUCUUUGAACCAUCAUAAAUUUAUCCUAGGAAGAGUUCAUGGGCAUCAAAAGUGUUAGCACCAUUGUACAGGUUCAGCAUUUGCUCUGAUUGUCUUGGGUACUAAGGUCAAAGUCAAUGAUUUUGGCUUUUUGUUUCUUAUCCAACAUAUUAUUUGUUUGUCCUGUGAUUAUUCUGUGCCCCUGAGAGUAGAUCCAGGCUGUUAAUAUUUGCAUAAACUUUGCCAGGCCUUGUCCUUCACUAUGUAGCUAUACUUUGAGAUACAUUUGUAAAGAUGUUGAACCUCACCCAGCUCCAUGACAAGGUAUCCACUUGUUUUGGUCUCAAUUACUUGUAGAUGAUGUUGGGGUAGAUAAACACAAUUGUUGUCAUUGCCAUGGUCAUUACUGGAUGGCAUAAGUGCUUCUUCCUCACAAGGACUUGGAGGCCACUGUAUCAGAACAUCCACUGUCUUAGCACCUGCUUUUUCCCAACACAUCCACUGUACUGUCUGUCCAAGCCUAUGUUUUGUUGCCUUGCCCCUGAACUUCCUGCCAUUGCAGAAGGAAGUAGGAUGACAUGGUCUGGUUAGUAUAUUAUCUGGUUGAAGUGUCCUUAGUUUCUAGGGCUUAGAACCCAAUGUAUUCCAUUGCUUUUUCACAUUAGCAGGGUCUGGCCUGAGGGGGAUCAGUUGCUCAUAGGGAUUUGGGAACUGCUUCUAGUCUUAGUUGAACUAGGGUUGCAUCAUGACCACAAUGACUGUUGGCCUAUAUUUAUGGUUGACUAUCUUUAAGAGGCUAAGUAGGUCCUCCAGCUCUUCUGACACCCCACCAGAGGCAGCAUAUACCUCUAUUACAGCCUGUCUUCUCAGCUCCAAAAUUAAGAGAGAAUCAAAUGGAAACUUUCUGACUGCCAAAAAUUAUAAAAUUCCACCCAAGGUCCAUAUUUUGUUCUUUGGAACAUAAUAAAAUUUUUCAAAUAAGAGUUCAGGGACACCAAAAGUAUAAGUAUCGCAGUGCUGGUUCAGCAUUUCCCCUGGGUAGAAUGAGGUACUAGGCCAAAGUUCAUAAUCUUGACUUUUCAAUUGAUAUACAAACCAGCACUCUUUGGCUUCACGUCCCUGUGAAGUAUUGUUUGCCCGUAGAAGUGGCUCAUCACAGCUAUUAUUUGCACAAUAUUUCCCUAGCCUUGACUUGCUCUAGGUAGGCAUAUUUUGGCACACAGUAAGCAAGAUGAUCUCCUGGUUUGAUUAUGCAUUGUAAUAUCUUAGACUCAGAAUCCAUUAUGGUGCAGUUCUUCCACAAAUGCAGGGUCUAGCCUGACAGAGCUCAGUCCUUCAUAGAGAUUUGGGAAAGACUUUCAGUCUUCCUUUAACCAGGGGUACAUCAUCCCAUCUGUGACUGUCAACCUAUAUUUCAUGUUGACUAUCAUUAGGAGGCUAAGAGGUCCUCCAUCUCUUCUGACACCCCGCAGGGGUUAGGAUACAUACAUGCCACAAUGGUCUUCUCAAUUGUAGUAUGAAUACAGAGUAAGAUCUGACUUUUUUAACUACCAUGAAAUGUAAAACUCAGGUCCAUUUGUCAUUCUGUGGACUAUCAUAAAGUUGCUGAGGAAGAGUUCAGGAGCUCCAAAAGAGAAAGCACCACAGUGCCACUUCAGCAUUGCCCUGGUUCAACUAGGGUUCUAAGGCAAAAGUCUAUGAUUUUGACUUCUCCAUUUAUGUCCAAUGGUAAACUUAUCAGGUUUCUCUUCCCUGUGCACUAUACCCUGGUCAUUUCAUUAGCUCACAGUUAUGAUUAUUUGCCUAAAUAUUUCCCUGCCUUUGUCCUCCCCUAGGUGGCCCCAUUUUCAGGUGCUUUGGUAAAGCUGUUGUCCUUCAACAAGUUCUUACUUGCAGAAGUGAGAUGCUGUUCAGGUGGUCGACCAUCAUUGUCUCUGCCUUGGUCAUGAGUGUCAGGCACCAUUGCUUCUUUAGAAGGGGUUCGAUUGCUCUGGGGCUGCCACUGAGUCGAAGGCGUUGCUCCUGUGUCCCAUGGUCCUUAAGACUUUGUAUUGAGAGUGGAAUUUUCCCUCAUCAGAAAUUCUGCUGAGGGCUAGGGUGUGGGUUCUGCUCUUUACUAUGUGUAAGCAUUGUAGCUAAAGAUACUACAAAUAUAACCUACAAAUAACUUAAAAGUAUAGAAUAAAAAUAGUGGAAAAGAUGUAGGGAAACUGAAGCUAAAUUCACAGCAUGUGUUUACUAAAAUGACCAAAAUGUCUUUCGGAUUGCAAUUUAUUCUUUUAUUUGUUUUUGUUUUACUUUUUGUUUUUGUUUUUUCUUUGUUUUUUGGCUCUCUCAAGAGGGCAACCCUGUAGUGCAAUAGAUCACAUAUUCAGAUGAUGUCAGGUGAAAUAGUCAUUGGCCACAUAAAGGCUAAAGCCUGUGUUUGGGCAAUGGAAGGAAAGACACAGCAGAACUUUUUGGGGAAUGGAGAGAAAGAAGAAUAGAGGCGGAAGAUUCGGGCAUGAAGAAGAUGGGGGAGAAAGAGGUUGAAAAUAGAGCAGGCACACGUGGCUUGCAGGAGCCACAAGUAGGUAGAGAUUUUAUAAAUGGGCAAUAGAGUAGUGUAGUGGUAGAUUUGUCUAAUCUAAGCACUCAGCUUAUAAUUAUAUAAUUGAGUUUUCUGUUUUUGCAUGGGCCUUUUGGCGUUGGAGAUUUACCCCUAUAAAUCUGGCUAGUAGAAGCUUCUUGGGUUUUCAUUACAAAAGACUAAGGCAAAUCCUGUGAGAGGAGCAUUGGCCAGCCUUCUGCAGGUCGGGGAGAUGGGGUGGAUGAGAUAAGAAACGCAAGCAGCAGUCCAGGCAUUUCAGAUUAAAGUUGUUUGGUUAGAGUAGCAAACUAGGAGCAGGAACCAGGCAAGAUGGAUGCAUAGACCUGGCCAUGUGGAUUGAGCAUUACCACUGAUACCAGAGCAUAGCAGGAAUUUGCAUUCCUGUGUUCUCAUUGCUGUUGUGUUCUCUCUGAGGAUGAUUGUUGAAUGAAUUCAGGCGACACUGCUGCCGUGGAUGUAUGUUUGUCCAGUGUGGGUGUAAUCUGGUGUGGCCUCAAGAAACAAAGGGCCGCCCCAGUGACUCUUCUGCCUACUUUUUGACCAGAUUGUGGUCAAAGGAAGUCACUAGACCAUUGGAUGAUGAUGAGGCCUGUGCGUAUAGGGCGAGGUAGCUACCACUCCUCUACAGCCCAACAGGAAUGCAUCAUCAUCAUCAAGGAAAGGGAAUAACUGGACUCAAUGUGUGAGCCUCCAUUGUUCAGCCUUGCACCUGGAGAACUUGCCUGUACAGUAAGCCACAUGAUCCCAUGGUUUUAUUUUAUAUUACAAUAUCUUAGGCUCUGAACCCAGUAUGUUCUAUUUCUUCCACAAUUGCAGGGUCUAGCCUGACAGAGCUCAGUCCUUCAUAGGGAUUUGGGAAAGCCUUUCAGUCUUCCUUUAACCAGGGGUACAUCAUCACAUCUGUGACUCUCAACCUAUAUUUCGUAUUGACUAUCAUUAAGAGGCCAAGAGGUCCUAUAUCUCUUUUGACACCCCACAAAGGUUUGGAUACAUACUUGCCACAAACGGUCUUCAAAACUGUAGUAUGAAGACAGAGUAAAAUCUGACUUUUUUAAUCUACCAUUAAAUGUAAAACUAUGGUCCAUAUGUCAUUCUGUGGACUAUCAUAAAGUUUGCUGAGGAAGAGUUCAGGAGCUCCAAAAGAGAAAGGACCACAGUGCCAGUUCAGCAUUGCCCUGGUUCCACUUGAGUUCUAAGGUGAAAGUCGAUGAUUUUGACAUUUCCAUUUAUGUCCAUCAUAAACUUAUCAGGUUUAGAUUCCCUGUGUACUAUACCCUGGUCAUGGCAUUAGCUCACAGUUGCAAUUAUUUGCCUAAAUAUUUUUUGCCCUUGUCCUCCUCUAGGUGGCCCCACUUUCAGGUGUUUUGGUAAAGCUGUUGUCCUUCCACAAGCUCUUACUUGUAGAAGUGAGAUGCUGUUCAGGUAGUCAACCAUCAUCAUUGUCUCUGCCUUGGUCAUGAGUGACAGGCACCAUUGCUUCUUUAGAAGCAGUUCCAUGGCCAUGGGUCUGCCACUGAGGCAAAGGCGUUGCUCCUGCGUCCCCUGGGCUUUAAGACUUUGUUUUGAGAGUGGAAGUGUCCCUCAUCAGAAAUUUGCCUGGGGCUUGGGUGUGGGAACUCCUCCUUACUAUGUGGAAUCAUUGUAGCUAAGAAUACUACAAAUAUUCCCUAGAAAUAACUUAAAAUUAUAGAAUAAAAAUGAUGAAAAAGAUGUAGAGAAACUGAAGCUACAAUCACUGCAUGUGUUAACUAAAACUGAGCAAAAUGUCUUGUGGACUGCAGUUUUUUGUUUUGUUUUUCUUGCUCUCUCAAGAGGGCAACUCUGUAGUGCAAUAGAUCACAUAUUCAGGUGAUGUCAUGGGAAAUAGUAAUUGGCCAAAUAAAGGCUACAGCCAGUGUUUGGGCUAUGGAAGGAAAAGAUAGAGCUGAAUGUUUUGGGGUAGGGAGAGAAAGAAGAAUAGAGACGGAAUAUUCGGGCAAGAAGAAGAUGGGGGAGGAAGAGGUUGAAAAUGGAGCAGCCCAUGUGUCUUGCACGAGCCACAAGAAGGUAGAGAUGUCAUAAAUGGGCAAUAGAGUAGUGUCGUGGUGUAUUUGUCUGAUCUAAGCACUCAGCUUGUAGAUAUAUUAUUGAGUUUUCUGGUCUCUGCAUGGGCCUUUUGGGGUUGGAGAUUUACCCCUAUAAAUCUGGCUAGUAUAAGCCUCUAGGGUUUUCAUUACAAAAGACUAACGCAAGUCCUGUGAGAGGAGCAUUAUCCAACCUUCUGCAGGUCAGCCAGAGGUGGUGGAUGGGAUGAGAAAUGCAAGCAGUAGUCCAAGCAUUUCAGAUUAAAGGUGUUUGGUUAGAGUAGCAAACUAGCAGCAGGGACCAGGACAAGAUGGCUGCAUAGAGCUAGCCAGGUGGGGUGAGAAACACCACUACUACCAGAGCAUAGCAGGAAUUUGCAUUCCUGUGUUCUCAUUGCUGCUGUUGUUCUCACUGAAGCUGAUUAUUCAGUGAAUUCAGGCGACACUGCUGGCAUGGAUGUAUGUUUGUCCAGUGUGGGUCUCAUCUGAAGUGGCCGGAAGAAGAGAAGAACAGCCCUCUUCGCUCUUCUGCCGGCAAGAUAAUGGCCAAAGGUAAACACAAGGCCAUUGGAGGAUGUUGAGACCAGUGUGACUAGGGUGGGGUAGCUUCCACUCCUCUUCAGCUCAAAGGUAAUGCAUCGUAUACAUCAAGGGUAGGGAAUAACUGGAUUCGAUGUGUGAGCCUCUGUUGUUCUGCCCUGCACCUGGAGAACUUGCCUGUACAGUAAGCCACAUGAUCCCAUGGUUUGAUUAUAUGUUGUGAUAUCUUAGGCUCUGUACCCAGUAUGUUCUAUUUCUUCCACAAUUGCAGGGUCUAGCCUGACAGAGCUCAGUCCUUCAUAGGGAUUUGGGAAAGCCUUUCAAUCUUCCUUUAACCAGGGGUACAUCAUCACAUCUGUGACUGUCAAACUAUAUUUCCUGUUGACUAUCAUUAAGAGGCCAAGAGGUCCUACAUCUCUUCUGACACCCCACAGAGGUUAGGAUACAUACUUGCCACAACCGGUCUUCAAAACUGUAGUAUGAAGACAGAGUAAAAUCUGACUUUUUUUAUCUACCAUUAAAUGUAAAACUAUGGUCCAUAAGUCAUUCUGUGGACUAUCAUAAAGUUUGCUGAAGAAGAGUUCAGGAGCUCCAAAAGAGAAAGGACCACAGUGCCAGUUCAGCAUUGCCCUGGUUCCACUUGAUUUCUAAGGCAAAAGUCGAUGAUUUUGACUUUUCCAUUUAUGUCCAACAUAAUCUUAUCCAGUUUCAGUUCACUCGGUACUAUACCGUGCUCAUGGCAUUAGCUCACAGUUGCUAUUAUUUGCCUAAAUAUUUCCCUGCCCUUGUCCUCCUCUAGGUGGCCCCAUUUUCAGGUGUUUUGGUAAAGCUGUUGUCCUUCAAUAAGCUCUUAAUUGUGGAAGUAAGAUGCUGUUCAGGUUGUUGACCAUCAUCAUUGUUUCUGCCUUGGCCAUGUGUGGCCUACACCAAUGCUUCUUUACAAGCAGUUCGAUGGCCAUGGGACUGCUAGGGAGGCGAUGAUGUGAUAUCGGGACCUUGGCAUUGCUCCUUAAGUCCUUAAGACUUUGUACUGAGUGUGGAAGUUUCCCUCCUCAGAGAUUCUGCUGGGGCCUAGGGUUUGGGAAAUCCUCCUUACUAUGUGUAAGCAUUGUAGCUAAAAAUACUACAAAUAAUACCUAGAAGUAACUUUAAAAGUGUAGAAUAAAAAUAAUGAAAAAGAUGUUUGGAAACUGAAGCUAUCGUCACUUCAUGUGUUAACUAAAAUGAGCAAAAUGUCUUGUGGAUUACUGUUUGAAUUUUUUCCUCUCAAGAGGGCGGCCCUGUAGUGCAAUAGAUCACAUAUUCAGAUGAUGUCAAUUGAAAUAGUAAUUAGCCAUAUAAAGGCUACAGCCUGUCAUUGGGCAAUGGAAGGAAAAGAUAGAGCAGAAUGUUUUGGGAAAGGGAGAGAAAGAAUAGAGAUGGAUGAUGCGGGCAAGAAGAAGAUGGGAGAGAAGAGGUGGAAAAUGGAGCAGGCCCAUGUGGCUUGCAGGAGCCACAAGUAGCUAGAGAUUUCAUAAAUGGGCAAUAGAGUAGUGUAGUGGUAGAUUUGUCUAAUCUAAGCACUCAGCUUGUACUUAUAUUAUUGAGUUUUCUGUUCUUUGACUGGGACUUUUGGAGUUUGAGAUUUACCACUAUAAAUCUGGCUAGUAUAAGCUUCUGGGUUUUCAUUUCAAAAGACUAAGGCAAGUCCUGUGAAAGGAGCAUUAUCCAACCUUCUGCAGGUCAGCCAGAGGUGGUGGAUGGGAUGAGAAAUGCAAGCAGUAGUCCAGGCAUUUCAGAUUAAAGUUGUUUGGUUAGAGUAGCAAACUACCAGCAGGAACCAGGACAAGAUGGCUGCAUAGAGCUAGCCAUGUGGGUUCAGGAUAACCACUGAUACCAGAGCAUAGCAGGAAUUUGCAUGGGUUUAAUUUAAAACUUCAUGCAAUAGAAGAUGUUGCCUGUGGUAGUCAACAAUCCACUAGGGAGUUAGGAUUCUUGUCCUAGGGAUGAGAGAAUUAGAUUCCUGAAUGAGCAGAGAUGAGUCAAAUGACUCCAGCACAUGGGAAUCUUAAUCAAACACAGUGAUAGACAGACCCAAAUCAGGCUUUGCAUUCUCUUCCUGUAAAAAGAAUCAGUAUAAUAAAUGGAUCCAGGCAGAGAGGGAGACUGAAGACUGCCUGCUUUUAAUAAAGUUUGGUUUAGUUGUUGCUAAUUUGGUGUAAUUUUGUUUAAAGAUAGAAGAGGACACAAUUUUGGCCACAGUCACCUGGGGAAUUCCUCCUGAGGUUCAGAGCUAACUCAGGGCAAAUGAGCCCAGAUUAUCUGGGAGCUCCUGCUGUGCAGGGACAAACUGAGCUAACAGAAAAACUACAGCCUCCAAGGCAGACAACAGAAUUUGGAUAAGGAUGAAACCCUCUAGGAAAGUCUCAGUGUCUCACAGGAUUCUCAUAUUCUCUCAAAAGAGGGUUAAAUGUCCUGUCUUGGCAGAUUAGAAAAGGCCUGAAAAAACUGUUUCUACUCUGCUUGUUUGGUUUAGUUCCCUCGUAUGAGUAUUUAAUUUUCGAAAUGUAUGUGAUUUUGAAUUUUCUGGUUAUUUUACUAUUCCUCUGGGAAAGAUGUCAAGCUAAAAAUCUUUCUGGUUACUGGCUAAAGUGUCUGCUAAUUUGGGAGAAAGACCUUAUGUUUCUGCUUAUAGGAAAAGUAAUUAGGCACUGGACUCCUUCCAGGGUUCUCUGGGUCAGAAAGGGCAGAUGAGCCCCCCUGAAGAACUAGAAAAUUCAAGAGAACCAAGCAAGAAAGGUAAAGAUUCCUUAUGCCAUUGUUCACAAUGCAUGAACGAAGACUUAUGAUUAGUUAUUAUUAAAUUUGGCUCAUAAAAAGACUAUCUUUUCACAUGCUUAAACAAAGAGCAGUAUUUCAUCUUGAGUAGUCAAGGUAUUUCAUGUUAAACUGGUUCCCAAUUGGCUUAGCAAUCGAGCCUCAGGAUGCAGAGUAACACAGCUGCAUAGAGCUAGCCAUAGGGGCUGGGUGAAACUCUGAUGCCUGUGUUUAGCCAGACUUAGUGUGGGGUUAUUUUAAAAAUUACAUGUAACAAAAAGUGAUUGAAAGAAACUAAAGUCAAAGUUAGGAAAAUAGAAUAAAAAUUAUGGAAAAGAUAUCAGGGAAAAAGCUAAAGUCAAAAAUCCCAAGUAAAAUUCAAACAAAUAACCCACCUUGUAUUCUGUUCAGAAAAGUCACGAAGCUCUCUAGAAGGAGACAAGACAGGAUGCAGCUGUUGGGCUAUCUCAGGCAAACUCUGCACCGGAGCACCUGUUCAAAGAGAUUAGAACAUCAUUAUUGUAUCAUGGAUGUUUACUGGGAGAAUGGAAUGAUUUCACAGCUGAGUUGUGGAAUUCUAUUGAUCUAUAAAAUAACCUAUGCAGUGGAUAAUAUAAAGUUAUGAAAUAUCUUCCAGCUUCAUUAAUCAGAACUAUAAAUUUUCAAUCUAGCCCAUGGAUGCUGAUGGUAACUGUCGCUUCUGUUUCCGACCCGCAGAAAAGAGCGACUACACAGCGUUCUUUUCAAAGCGGUUUAUUCAGGAACCUUACAACAUGCAAACAGGAAUCUUCUUUUCUUCUGUCUCCCUCCCAGCCCAGCCCCCGGAGCACACUCCCUUAUACCCUCCCUCAACUCCGCCUCCUCAGUCCAGACUGCAUAAUCUCAGUUCAUAGGUCCACGGCACAUGGCCUGAUCUUGCAUCAUGGUGCGCCUGCACAGCUCUCACAAUGGACGUGGCUAGUUUCAGGUGUGUGAGGAAGUCAGAUGCUAGUCACGAGACUUAGCUGCAGUCCCAGGCGCCAUCUUGGGACUACCGCCACACCCGCUCCCCACAGGUAACUGUGAUUUCAAGGUCAUUUCCAAUCAUCUAUGUUAAGUGUUUUGACUCAAGGAAACUGGCAUUGCCAUAGAUGAAAUCAGUAAAAGGCAUAUUUAUUUCUUCUUUGCCACAUAACUAGACAAAUGUCAGUUCAAAAAGUUGCGAUUAUUUAGUGUACUUUUUUCAUCUCAGUUACUUAUGUAUUUUUUCAUUUAUUUAAAUUUCCAUACAUGUAUACAGUAAAAUAUGGUCAUAUCCACCCUAACAUCUGUCCUCCAACUUCUACAAGAUUCCUCUCAGAAUCCCCCGAUUGACUCUAUAGCCCUGGUUGGUCUGGGACUUGCUGUGUAAAUCAAAUUAGCCUAGAACUCACAGAGGUCCACCUGAAUCUGAUCCUGGGCUUAAAAGUCAGCACCACUAAACCAUUCCUCGUGUGUGUGUGUGUGUGUGUGUGUGUGUACAGAAAUACACAUACACACAUUUUUUGUAUCCCAGUAAGCCCUAUUAGUGCUAGUCAUACAUGCAUACUGUGUGUACAGACAUUCACUGGAUUAUCAGAGUCCUACCAGUGGCUUGUCCCCAAGGAAGAGUGAAUUUCUAUCAGCUGUUGUUAACUGCAGCUCCUCAUUUGAUGCAAGGGCUUAUAAGUUCUUCUCCCACCCAUGCACGAUGUGCAAACAAAUGACACAGCCACCUCCGUCACUUUACUCGGUUAACAUAUACUAAUAAAAUGUUAUGGUAUUUUCAAAUUUAUAUGUAUCUGUAUUGUAUAUGUAUAAUGACACAUUGUAUAUACUUGUAAUGGCUAUUCUUGGUUGUGAACUUGACUAUAUGUGGAAUGAACUUCAAUCCAGAAUUGGAAAGCUCACCUUUGAUCCUGAUUUGAGGCUGGGAGACACAAAUUUCUGAACUGAAUCUUGGUAUGGAGAUCAUGAGGCAAAGUGGCUGUGAAUCUCAGGAGUUUAAGACAAGGAGAUCUCUGAGUUCAAGGUCACCUAGGACAAAGCAAGUCCCAGUUCCAGCUGUGGUGGUACACACCUUUAAUCUGGGACACACCUUCUGCUGGAGAUUUAUAUAAGGACAUUGGAAGAAGGAAGAGUCUCUCUUUCAUCUGCCUGCCUGAUUUGUAGGACUGAGCCACUGCUAGAUCCUUGGACUCCUAUCCAUACCUGUUGCUGAUCAUUGUUGGGGAGUUGGACUAUAGACUGCAAGUCAUCAACCAAUUGUCUUACUGUACAGAGAUUUCCCAUAAGUUCUGUGUCUCUAAAGAACCCUGUAUAAGACAAUUCUCUUUUAUAAUAUAUAAUUUCUAUUGAUAGAUAAUGUAAUUUAUUUUUUAUUCAUAAUAUUAUUAUAUUCAUCCCUAUGUUUAUAUGUAAAUAAAACACAGGUUGUAUGCCUAUGAAACAGUAACACACUGCAUACUUGAUGACUGCUGUCUUUUCCCUACUCCCUACUGCAGGGGAGAAAAUGGACCAUUCUCAUCAAUGAAAAAGGUAAAAUAAAAUGUUAACUAUUGGCUGGAAACACAGAUGGUUUACACAUAAAAUUACAUCUUCUUGAUUGCUACUUUAGAAAUUUAUCUUCAUUUCCUGAAGUCACUUUUUAUGAUACAUUACUAUAUCAAAUACUAUCUCAUAGUUUUUAAGGUAAGUUAAUUUUAUUCUUGGUACAAAAGUAUACACAUAGUGUUGUGCAACUUCCAGUAAUAUCCGGGUAGGGCUUCAUGCACAUGACUGUAUGGUUUAAUACUUCCCUAUGUGAUCCAAAGCUCUUUUGUUGUCAUAUUAUGAUCUCUAAGCAGAAUAUUUUUGAUCCUGAAAUUAUAUACAAUACCUAACUUUUUCUAAAACACUUCAUUAGCUCUCCAUAGAAUGCUAUUUAAGUGUGUUUGACUGUUCGGUCCCAGGAUAUGAAUUCCAGUAGAGCACUUUCUGGAUAUUUCCUUACAAAGUGCUGUUAACUGCUUCCUCCAAGAAGUUAAUUUCUUGUCUUGAAAUUUAAACCUUAUGUUUAAAUAGAAGAUAGAGAAGGCAGAUGCUGGAUUAUUUAGUACCAAGCUGGUUUUCUGUCCUGAUAUGGGUAAGGGCUAGUCACUUGAGGUGUUUCUCAUUCCUUUGGAUUUGUAGCUGUUUCAGACUUUAUAAAUAAUCAUUUUGAGUAUUACAAGUCUAUGGGCAUUUUCUCACCAAAUUGUCCAUUUUUACAGGAGUAUUUUUCUUACAAGUUUGGAACCAUAAAAUAGAAACUUUCCUAACUAGUCAAGCUACUAGGGUGUAUGUGGGCAGGGUUUUGCACAUUUCCUGCUGUGUGAUUUAAUUGUGCUGUUCUGACCAUUUUUUUUGCAUAGGCUGCUGGCCAGUAUAAGCUGGAAAUCUAUGUUAAAUCGUUGUCCAAGGAGGUAUUGCAGAUGUGGUCAGUAUUUGUUUUAAAGGAAACAGUGAAAGGCAUUCUUCACUCGAGCUUUGUGAAAUAAUGUGCAGAUGCUUAUGGCUGUGGAUACUGUGUGGUGUGAGGAAUGCUGUUGUGCACUGACUGUGUGGUGUGAGGAAUGCUGCUGUGCACUGACUGUGUGGUGUGAGGAAUGCUGUUGUGCACUGACUGUGUGGUGUGACGAAUGCUGCUGUGCACUGACUGUGUGGUGUGACGAAUGCUGCUGUGCACUGACUGUGUGGUGUGAGGAAUGCAGCUGUGCACUGACUGUGUGGUGUGACGAAUGCUGCUGUGCACUGACUGUGUGAUGUGAGGAAUGCUGCUGUGCACUGACUGUGUGGUGUGAGGAAUGCUGUGGUGCAUUGACUUGCUGCCUUUUUUUCUUUUCUCCCUACCCCUGCAUCCUUCUGGUGGUUCAGGUUGGACAACUAGGUGCCCAUGACCAAGUCCUCAUUGUGGAUGGAUUUAGUCUAUUUGGACAUUCUCAGGAAAGGGCAGCAGAACUCAUGACUAGUACCAGUCCCAUGGUUACCCUGGAAGUUGCAAAUCAAGGCAUCCUCUUUCACUGCCUGUCCACCUUUCUUACCCAGCCAUUGUCCUCCAUGGUGCAGAGAGGUAAGAGCUAGUGACUCAAGCCAGGUUAGCCAACAUAUAGUGAUCCUGUAUUGGGAUAUGGCUACUCCUAAAAGUUAUCAAAAUCUGGGGCUGGAAAGAUGAUUCAGUAUUUUACAACACCAGUGUUAUCCCAAAACUCUAAUUUUAUGGGAUUUAAAGCACUUUUCUAAGUUCUCUGGACAUGAGUCAAGCAUUCGUGUGUACACAUGCUGGGCAAACACUCAUACACAUAAAUUAUUUUUAUAAAGAGAGGCCCUAAAAUUCCCAUGUAGUAGCUCCUACCACAGCUCUUGCUCAGCUCUUCAAGGAAGAAGUUAGUUGAGACUGAGUGCAUGAUGCUGAGAAAUACUUCUGGAUCAUGAUUCAGAUCAGAUCUAAUGGUACAGUUUCCUAGAUAUAGUUACAGUCUGUUAAGUGCAGUAUUGUGAACUCUCUUCUGACCCUGCCUCAGCUUUGGAACCUGCACACCUUAGCGCCUAACCUUUGUAGCUACAGUAUCAACAACAAUAUCAGUGUCUGACAGCCUAGAAUCCUGUAUACUAAAGCGAGGAACAGGAAACAAUCCUGGCUAGACCAUGUGUUGGCAUGUUAAAGCAGAACACCAUUUAAAAACUCAAAGAGGGAAGUGGGUAACGAAUGAGUCCCGGGUGAGCAGACAGGAAGACUAAACUGUGAACAGGCAUUGAUAAUCACACCAGGGGACAGCACCAUGUGAUGCUGUCAUACUGAUUGAUGGAAAAUAAUAUGUGUGUUAUCAGGUGAGAGAAGAGUAGUUGAGUACUUUUAAAUAUUACUCGAAAAAUAGUUACUUUGUUAUUUACAAAUUAUAAGUCAGAUCUGAGAAAAUAAAUAAGGUCAAUUUCUCCCAUAGAUACAAUACUAAGUGAAUGAAAAGUUUUUCUAGACAAUAUAUGUAAAAGCUUUUCAAAAUGUUCGUAUAAAGCUAUUUGUGGUGGCAUGUACCUUUAAUGCCAGCUCUAAGGAUGCAGAAAGAGGCAGAUUUCUGUGACUUUGGGGCCCUCCUGCCUGUGUACUGAAUUCCAGACCAGCCUCAAAUAUAUAGUGAGACCCUGGGCUAUGGUUUCUUCUGAUUGCUUGCUCGUUUUUGCAUUUUUAGGCUGGUCAAAGAAUGUAUAUAAAAGAUCACCCUAUUAUACCAAGAGCAGUUAUUAAAUAUAAGAAUUUUAGAUGCAUCCUUUGAAGCUCUUCAUCUUAGAAAAAAUGACGGAGAGAGAAUGAGUGAAUUGGCUUUGGUUUCAGUUUCAGAUCGUUAUGGCUCAGGUAAACCCAGAGCACAGAGUGAAGUUUUUAUGAGUUUUAUUUUUCUUGGAUAUUUUAUGUAUUUACAUUUCAAAUGUUACCCCCUUCCCAUGCUCUCCCAACCCCCUGCCCAUGCUUCUAUGAGUAUGAUCCCGCUCCCACCCACCCAUUCCCAUCUCAAUGCCCUGUUCAGCUUGCAGCUGAAUAUUACACUGAAUAUGGGGACCCCAAUGGAAGAGUUAGAGAAAGAACUGAAGGAGCUGAAGGGGUUUGCAAUCCCAUAGGAAGAACAACAAUAUCAACCAACCAGACCCCACAGCUACCAGGUAGGAAACCAUGAACUCAUGAGUACACAAGGAGGGAUCCAUGACUCCAGCCACUUAUGUAGCAGAGGAUGGCAUUAUCCAACAUCGAUAGGUGGAAGAGUAAAGGUUUUGAGCUCUAUAAUAAUUCAGCUCAAAACGGCUCCCCAGAGAGUCCUCAAGAGCCUUGGACAGAGCACAGUCAUCCAACGAAGCUGCCUGGUAAAGACAGGCUGAUGAAAAACAGAGCAGAUCACCCUUUCAGCUCCAAUGUGACAAGUAAGAAGAGGCAUUCUCUAAGUCACCUUGUCACCCAGAUCAUUGUUUAUACUUUGAUCAUUGUUUUUUGUGUCCCUUGGCCAGCUAGAAUACAGUUUUCAUAGAGGUCUCAUAUUAGUCCAAAAUUAGAAUUUUAUUUGGAAAACCCUUGACCUUAUAGAUCAAAAUGCACUGUAAAUGUGUCUUCAAAAUGGAUCGGGUUUCCAAGUUAGUGGAGAUCAUUUUUACACUUAAAAGAGUUGCUAACAAAGUAGUGAGGAUGGAGUAUACUGAAUAGAGACCCCAACGUCCAAAAGGCUUCAACCUCCAAAAGGCUUCACGUAUUUACUCUCAUGUCUCUAGCCCAGAUCUCAUCUGGUCCUGGAGAAAGUCCUUCUCCUGGUCUGUGGCGUCAGGAGACUUGUAGGGGUGCGUGAAGCCGACUUCUGGUACAUCUUUGUCUCUGGCUCAGUGCUAAACAUCCUGCCCUCAGUGUAUGAUGGGUAUGCCAUGGCUCCUGCAUUUAAAGGAAUGUUGUUAUGUUUAUUUUACUUGUUAUUUAAUGUGACACUUGGGUUUUUAACACUAUUUCUAAUACAUCAGCCUUCUAUCCCUGGAGAGAAGUGUGCAUAUAGCACUAGAACAGCAGCUAACAUCUGUCUUCACUGGAGAACUCUGUACUGAGGUCUAAGAUGAGCUGGAACACUUUCUUACUUGAGAAAUAUCUGACUUCUUUGAUACAGUUCUCAACAAAUUACAUUAACUAUCAUUCCUGAAUUUUGGUCAUUUAAGUUUAUUUCUAUUACACUAGUCAAAUAAAUUAAUGAAUCGGGGAACAUGAGAAUUAGUGUAAAUGAGUAAAUAAGAAAAUUUAAGAUUUUUUUUAUUGGGGUUGGGGAUUUAGCUCAGUGGUAGAGUACUUGCCUUGGAAGCGCAAGGCCCUGGGUUCGGUACCCAGCUCAGAAAAAAAAAGAUUUUUUUUUUAUUGAAAGCAUAAGGUCAAAAUUACAUUUUUUAUCAUGGCUUUUAAAAUAUAUUCUUUAAAAAACCAUUUAUUUAUUUAUUUAUUUAUUUAUUUAUUUAUUUUAUAAUCCAAUAUUAGCCCUUCCUGUCUUGCCAAUAACCCCUCAUACAAACCCGUCUAUCACCUCUUCCUGAGAUGGCAAAGCUCCUUUUGGGGUGUCAACCCCCAUGAUUGCUUUUUUAAAGAUUGUAAAACAGAUCCCCGAGGACAAAGUUCACCUUUUAUGCAGUUUUAUGAAUCUCAUUGUUUAUUUCUUUACAUUUCACAAGAACAGACCCCUCUACGUAGUCCUGAAGCUAGGAGCUAAAUUGCAGGAGUGACAAUGCCACAAACAGCAUGCAUCAGUGUAUAGAAAAAUCUUUUUAUUCCUUUGUACACACAGGUACAGCUGGUUACUUGGAGAGUGAGCCAUAAAGCAGUGUCAGGUCUGGUUAUACACCCAUUCCUCAGUUUUCUUACCUCCUCUGUGAGAAAGAAACAUGCAUGAAAUUUUGUUAAUAUCUCUGGUGAGUCUCUGAAGUAUUAGAUCUUCGUCUUUUCUUUUCUCGGUGUGUUACCCCUUCAAUGGAAGAACUUCAGGAAGAGUUUUACCAACUUGAGCUGCAUUGAGUAGUGGCCAGCAUGGAUCUCUAGUGUGACAAUGAUAUGUGGAUCCAGAGCUCCUCAGUGGACUCUAUGACAUCCAGCCAGGAGCACUUGAAAUAUUCCUCCAAGUCAGUUACCCCUGCUUCCACUCUACCAAGAGUGGUCCUGGCCAUUGGAAAACCCAGCAGAGGUGCUGCCCACCCCUGUGACUGUCUUCCAGCCCAUAUGAACAGACCUCCCUCCACCACCUCCUCCACCACAUGUCCACCUACACCAGUGGUUUUGAUGGCAUUUCAGUGGCUUUGCCCCUCCCACCACCUUCUGCAAACAAGGCAGGAUCCCAGUCUGCUCAGGUGGCUGCUGGCUAGCAAAAAAGAAGGAGGAGCAGCAGUGGUGGUCUGAGAUAUAGAAGGCCUGCCUGGAUAAGGAAGCAGAGAGGAAGCACGGUGAGCAGGAGAAGAAUCUGGGGCAGAUGCACUCUCAUUCCCUGAUCCCUGCUUCCUUAUCUCUUUUGGCCACACCGGCCCAACCAGGAAAACCUUCCACACUGCAGAGGCCCCAAGAAACAGUUACUCUGGAGCUGUAGCCCCAGCAGCAGCCCCCCACUAUUGAGCACAGGAAUCUGCAGUAGAAAACUAUCAGUAAAGAGGAGUUGUCCUGUGGGGAUAGUCUGUCUCCAGACCCAUGGAAACAAGAUGCCAGGGAGAAGCUGGAGAAGCAACAGCAAAUGCACCUUGUGGACAUGCUAAGCAAGGAGAUCCAUGAGCUGCAAAACAAGGGGGACGGUAGUGCAGAGGAGAGUGACUGCCUGUGGAAGCUUAUGCUGGAGUGGCUGUUUUGGAAGAGACUUCAGGCUAUAUUUCUUGUGUUUCUCCCAGGUUCAUUUCUUGAACCUGUUCUUGAAAACUGUUCAAGCAGCCCAACAUUUGACAUUUUCAAAGUAGAAAUUCAUAACAACUAUGUUUUUGACAUUCUGGCCUUAGAUAAUUCUACAGUGAUGUCUAUGGUUAAGUGCCAGGCAGUGAGAACCCAGGAGUGACGAUCAGAGGUACACAGGAUGACCUGAAGGUGAGGUGCUCCUGGAGCCCAGUCUCCUGAGUGCAGGUCCUCAACCUUACAGCUGCCCACUCCAGCUGUGCCUGGGAUGGAGCCAGUGCUACCGACCUAGGAAGCAGCUCAGGGACUGUGCUUACUAUGUUCCCCAUUGGUUCAGUUCAUGACAAAGGUUAAUCUGAAGUAACAGCAGGAAUUUUAGCCCGCUGGAAUUCUGUAUCUGAGAAAGUACAUGUCUUUAGGAACAUCAAGAUGCUCACGUCUUAACACGUUUCAGCUUUAUAUGUCACAGAUAUAAUAAAGCUGUUUAUAACCUUUUUCUGUUUGGGGUAGCUCAAGGGUAGAAUGUCCUGACCCUGAGUAUUAUAUCUAAUUACCCAGAGAGAGAGAGAGAGACAGGAAGGAAGGGAGGGGGAGAGGGAGGGACAGAGACAGGGAGAGAGAGAGAGAGAGAGAGAGAGAGAGAGAGGAACAAAAAGUUUGUAAAAAUAAGCAAAACUUAAAAAUAUAUAAAUAACUGUAAAUUAUUAAAAGUCUAUAUGAGAGUCAAUGUUUAUCACCCAAAAUUGAGGAAGGGGCUUGGAGAAACGAAUUAUCCGCCUCCAACCUCCAAAAACAUACACACACUCAAUCAACAACACGUCUAAUUAUACCUGGAAAUACCCAUAUUUUAUAGAAUGCCAUAAUGGAAAGUGAGAAGCAUCAUUUUCGAUAAGGGUUGCCAAUAUGUUCUUUUUCCAAGGUGUGUGCAGCCGUGCCAGUCUUCCUCAUCACGGGAUGGAAGAGGUCCCUGACCUGUGAGCCUAGAGGUGACCAGGGGAUCUUUGCUCCAUUCUGAGACUGAGAGGCAGGAUGCCCACUCAAGGGUCCAUAGCAGGGAAGGUUUUCAAGCUACGUACAGUGCUGGAAAAGCCUACACAAGGCGUACAGUUAGCAGUGAUGUGUUUGCAGGGAGUCCAAGGAACCAGCUUUUUACUGAUGCAGGUGGGCAAGCAUUUAUCAUCCACCUGCCACUCUGACAGCAAUAAGAGUAUUGCUUAAGUUUUGUUUCAUAGAUUUGAUCACUGAAAAAAUACCAAAAAUUGGACCCUUAACGUUGUAGCAAAUAGAAUAGUGGAUGCUAAGACAGGGACCUUUGACUCUUCUAACACCAUUGUCUAUUUCAGAGCAAGAAAGGAGAGUUAUCAAUGGACAGCAGUCUGCUUCCCCCAUGAGUGCUCUACCACUGAGUUAGUAGCCUUAGCCCUCCUCACCUUUAGAUAAAGGGUGUCACUAAGUUGUCCAAGCAGACCUGAAACUCAUGCUGUAGACCAGGCUAGCUUUGAACUUCUGAUCCCCCUCCCUACUGUGUGUCUUGAGUGUCUGGGAUUACAGGCCCAUUUCUCUACAGCUGAGCAGCUUGCUUGUUUGCUUUCUCCUUUCUUUACUCCUCCUCCUCCUCCUCCUCCCUCUCUCUCUCUCUGUCUCUUUCAUUCUUUCUUUCCUUUCAUUCAUUCUUUCUUUCAUUCUUUAUCUUUCUUUUCUUCCUUCUUUCAUUCCUUUGUUCCUUUCUUUUAAGAUUCAUUUACUUUAGUGCUCUAUCUGCAUGUACAUCUGUGUGUCCAAAGAGGGCAUCAGAUCUAAUAAUACAUAGUUAGUAUCUAUGAUAUGGUGACUGGAAUCGAACUCAAGGCCUUUGAAAGAGCAGCCAUGCUCUUAACCACUGAGCCUGCUCUCCAGCCCCAGCCUAUUUUCUUAAACUUACCACACUUGGUUCACAUGAGAAUUGUCUGUCAGAUGAGUAAGGUAAGGUUACCCUGAGCGCAGAGUGCUUAUCCCUUGUCAGAUCAUCCAGGGGGUUACCUCUGACUCAUGCUGUCCUUUUCCAGGUCUGUCACCAGUGCCCUGGAGUUUGUGGGCCUCAUCCACAGAGGUAUGCAACUCAGAGAACAUGGCCCCUAAGGCUACACCCACAUUGUAAAAGCCAGCGAUGUCAAUCACAGCAGGUUAGAUGUCAGCCACCUGAGUCAUGCAGUUUGACCACAUGAGACUCACCCUAGGACUUAAAUGCAGUGCGUUCAAGGUCUCACAUGCUAUGCUGGACAGCUGCUCUGGGCCUCCACAUCAUAAGCCAGAGUGCAGAGCCCUGGGCACAGCAGGACACACCCAGGCUAGUUUUCACUCCUAUGGAAAGCCAGUAUAGAUGGACAUUCUCCAUCUUGCUACAGUGACACUUCUGUAAGGGACGAGACUGCUUAGGGCAGCAUUGUCUGUUUAGUAGGCACAUCCACCUCCAGGACUUGCCCCCUAUGGACAGUGCUUGAGCAAAGCCUGCCUCAUGGUGCUUAGGGAGUCUCAGUUGUCUGCCAAUGGAUUCCCAGACAUUCAGCUCUGUCUGAUGAUUGACAGACCUUUGUGACCCUUCUGUUUUCCACUCUCCGGACCACAGCCCCAAAGUCCAGCCAAGCUGACCUUCUCGAGAAAGCAAGGGCAGGUAUUUGUGGAUUACCACUGCACUGGGCUUCAUCUCCAGUGGACCCACCCGACCAUGCUGGGCAGCUCCUGGGGGCAGGUUUCAGCACAUGGACUGGGCCAGCAGUGUGUAUGCAGGUGAACGGGGGACGACAUCUGCCCAGUCAAGAAUGCCAGAGUCAUCAAAGGGCAACACAGUAGAGAGAGCUUGUGAACUGUCAACAGAAGGCCAUGUUAUACUCCAUGAUGGGCCUUAUGUUGUUCUGUGUCUAGAAAAAGGGUUACCUGCAGUUAAAAGGACUGUGGUAUCCAACAAGGGACCUCAAUGACUACCAGGCCAUGGUGCCUGUCUGGGAAGUGGGUGGGUCCCAUGGUCCCUCCAAGAACCACCUCUGUUUGCCUGUUCCUGUCUGGAUAGCAUGCUCACAAGCGACUGGACUGCUUACUUUACAGCUGUGUCUGUGGUGACUGGGUUUGCCCUGAAGGAGGCCUUCUUUAUCAAUUAGAGUCUGGCUGUCCUAACAGAUGCCCUUAUGGCCUUGUCAGAGCACUGUGACCACAUCCCACAUCUGAACAGCAAGCUAAUCAACAGGAUGCUCUAGGAGUCCAUCAGUUUGUCUUCCUCAGAGACCCCAAAAUACAGGGGGCAGAGAGCUGGGCUUUAGGGAGCUACCACAGGCAUGAUUGCUCUUUUUUGUAAGCCGCACCACCUUUGGCCGAGUUACAGUUCUGCCAGGCCCUCCCAUGUUCUGUCUUCAGCAUCUUUGUGUGUCAAUGCAGCUUACACUGUGUAUUAACUGUGCUGCACGUUGGCCUAUAGGCUGGGCUUUCCUCUUGAUUUUCCAGCAAGACUACAGAGUUCCCGGGGGAGACUCUCAUCAUGGCUCUCCAUAUUCUGACAGGCACAGUCUGUGGAUGUCUCUAAGGUGUUGGAGUUCGGACCCCACUGAGGGGUGAGAGGCUUUCAGUGACUUAUAGACCCAAGGCUUGGGCAUGAUGGCUUCUUUUUUUUUUGGUUCUUUUUUUCGGAGCUGGGGACCGAACCCAGGGCCUUGCACUUCCUAGGUAAGCGCUCUACCACUGAGCUAAAUCCCCAGCCCCACAUGAUGGCCUUUAUUGUGUGUUUGGUAGCAUGUAUGCCCUGCUGCAAGUGUAGACAGACACUCCCCAUGCCUGUAGUCUGUGCUUGGAGUGUGGGUACACUCUGUCCAUGCAGACAGCUGUCUCCGCACACACAGAUGCCAUUUUCAUGAUUUACGCCUGUCAUCUUUGAUGUUUCUUUUAAUAGGCAGUCAUGUAAAGUCACUAUGAUUUUGUGGUGACUUUCUUUCCCCAGCCUUCAGAUGAAUAUAGGAAAGAGACUCUGGAAUCUGCCUGGGCUCCUCCUUAUGCCCACACCUUGACCCCACUGAACUCUCUUUGGCAGAGACAUGGCAGAGCCUGGCCUUUAAUUGUCCUGUUCAUUCCCUAUGGAUUGUGACCACAGUCUGCAGUUCUGCACAGCCUGGCAUCCAAGGAAAUUGGUAUAGUUCCCCACAAUGUCUCCACAGGCUCAGAGGAAGGACAUAAAUAGAAUCUUUAUGGGACCCAAGUGGCUUCUCAGGGUCAGCCAAUGGUCUUGGCUCCUUCUUGUCUCUGAAGACACAGGGCACAAGUCCUGACCUCCAUGCACCUUUAGCUGCUGCACACACUAAGGAUGAGUCCAUUGGCUUCUGCUGCUUCUGGGAGUCCUGAAAACCACAAUCCCUCAACCAAGGGAACUAGUGGGGGACAAGUGAGCUCCCUGAGGACCAGAAGCCCCACCUGGGUUCACUGCUAUGUUUCCCAAAAUAAUGAAGAGCUGCUGUCAUAGCAGGCCAUGCUCUGGUGGGUAGGGCAGACAGGCACAUCCAGACCCACAGAAGGCUGUACUGUGGCUGUGCUGGGCAUCCCAGGGGCGGGGUGGGGUUGGGGACGGGAGACAAUUGGUCCAUGGGUACCAUGGAUAUACAUGGACACCUAGGCACAUAAGGGGGUAUGCAUAUACACGAAAAAACUCCCUCUCACACAGAAGUUGGCAUGAUGUAUAGAAAAACAAGUCCAUCCUGAGUGUGGGCUUCACUUUAGAUAUUAAGGUCCAACAUUAAAACAGGAAUGUGUGAAGACAAGGAGCUCUGUGUUCCCUGGGACCAGAAGGAACAGAGUGGCUGUGCUGACUCACAUGAAAUAAACUCUCAAUCACAGUCUGUGACAGCCAGGUCACAGGACCCAGGCUGCUGUGUUAUGUGUGAGCACCCAGUGCAGCCAGAAGCUAAGUACUGAGCACUGACUGGCCCAAGCCCAGAAAGGGUCUCUGUUUUUCAGAGUGCUGGGGGACAGUGCAGUGUGUAGCAGUUUCCUCUUGAAGACUCUUCUGGGGUUUUGAGUUCCCUGUAGAGGACCCUCAUGGCUACAGACACUAAGCCUGGGAGGAAAGAUCCUCAUCUGUAGAGUUCAUUGAAAGGCCUGAGAGCAGAAAAGCAAAGAAGCAGCAAAAUGUGCCCCUUCUGCUCACUGUGGUUCAGCUUCUGCCUUUGCAGUUGAGCUCAGGUGCCCUGGAGUCCUCCCUAGCCUGAGUGAGUGAUUUCAAGGCCAAGUCACAUCCUCCUGGUUUUUAGUAUCAAACGCAGCCCAGUUUCAGCCCAGGUAAGCUGUGAAUACCAGGUAUGCCUUGCUGUCUGCAUUGUAGGGGAACUGUUGAGCCCCAAAGUACGCAAGGGCUACAAGGUAAGGAAUCAUAGGACUGGGCUAGGCCUGGAAUCCAAGUUCCCUUCACCCCUGCCUGGUAACUGGUUCUUGCUGUGUAUAGGGGACAGAAAGAUAGGGUCCUAUGGGAGCCCUGGCACAGGCCUGCCCAAGCAUGGCUUAGGGAUCCUCACAACAUCCUAGCAUUUGAUGUGUCCCCAGGUUUGUCUACCACCCUCAGCCGUGUGCCAUUUUCUGUGCCACCUGCAAGGGACUCUAAAUAUCUUCCUACAAAAGGUGAUCAAGGAGGGGUUGUACAAGGACACAUGGUGGCUCUGUGGUGAAGUUAACAUGGACCAAUAGAUUAGAGGGCCAGAGCCCCAGGACCAAUGCUGGGUGGACACACUCCUCUGACAUCCAACACAGAGAUCUUUGUACAGAGAUCAAGAGAAUUCUUAUCUGAAUAGCAGUGCAGAGCACCUCAGGCUCAGGGACUCAGGACUGACACCCAUAGAAUGCUGUAGAGGAGCCGUUUGUGAUUCAAGGGCUCAUCUGCCUGGGUCCUUGAGCCUAUAGAGAUGAGCAGAGGACUGGGCUGUGGCUGGUUAUGGGCUCAGACAGGGAGGUGCUAGGGAGCUUGUUUUUGGCUCCUGGGAGUAGAGCAGUUUUUCUUUCCCUGUCCCUGCUUUUUGAGUUUUUCUUUCCUUGGGAAAAUGGAAGGACUGGAAGAAGUCUGGCUAUGGAGAGUGAGGCUGGCUGGGAAACUGCUCGCUGUUCUCCAUUGUCAUCCUGCUGGGGGUUUGGGGUUGUUGGCAGGUUAGCCUCUCCACCAUUCCAGUCUGCUUCUCUCCAUUUAAUCCAUGCAUCUCUGUCUCUUCGCUUCGUGACAUGGAUGCACAAGUCCUACCAGUAGCUGCCACUCCAGGGCAUAAGUCCCUCAGUGAGUGAAUUCCAGAUGGUUCUGUCUAGAGAGAAAUUGGACAGGGUCGUUCAUCAGUAUGUAGGAACAUGGAAGAUGAUACUGCACUGCACCCAAACACAUUUCAUAUAAAAUCAAUCCUACUGGUCAGGUACUAAUCCACUCUAUUUACACCUUUCGCCAUUAUUGCUAUUCACUGUACUGUGAAUUUUUAUUAUAUUUUACUUCUGCAAAAGAAGAGACAGAGUUUAGCACUGGAGAUUCCCUAGGGACUGGCUGGAAAGGACGCCUUGACACACGUGUGCUUCUGGGAAAAAGCUCUUUCAUAGGAUGCCUCCAUGAGUUCCAGGAUGUGUGGAGGGCUCUGUGCCCUAUCCAGGGUUGACCUCAAUAUAUUAAUGGGAGCUGAUGCUUCUCUCUAAUAGAACAGUGCCACCCUCCUUGGAGAUGUCUGUGAUUGUAUAUGCUUAGCUUUAGAGUAUCAUUAUUAGGAGACUUUGCCUUGUUAAAGUAGGUGUGUCACAUUGGCCUGGGCUUUAAGACCCUUUUCCUAUCCACAUGCAAGCCAAUCUUCCCCAAGCAGCCUUCAGAUGAAGAUGUAGAACUCUCAGUCUCUCUGGCACCAUGCCUGCCUGGAUGCUGCCAUGCUCCCCAGCUUGAAGAUAAUGGACUGAGUUUCUGAACCUGCAAUCCUGUGUUCAUUAAUGUAGUCCUUAUAAGAGCUGCAUUUGUUGUGGUGUGUCUCUUCUCAGCAGUAAACCCCUAACUCAAACAAUGUCCAUGUUCCCUUCUUCUGCCUCCAGACAUUAGAAGCUUCCUACAUGAGCGGCAUACUCUUGGGAUAUGGCCCUAAUAGGCGCUAGGCUGUCUGCUUGAUCUGAGAGUGCUAGGACAUCCUGCUCCUAAGGGCAUUGUUACCGCUCCCUUGCAAUACUGUUUAUAGCAUCAGCAGGCUCCUGCUCUGUUACCCGCUGAACACAAUGCUGUCUUCUACAGGAGUGGAUCCAACAGCUCUCAGAACCUCCUCAGGAACUAUGUGUUUCCCAAGGAUUACCUGCACUUGCUUACACACCCCUAUCCUGUGUUCUGAAAACUUUUCAAAGCCCAUUCAUCUGUGACUGCUGCUGUCUGAAGUAGAGAACACUGUCAACUGCCCCAGAGGGGAUUUUGGGAGCUCCUACCAAGAAUGCCUCAGCUCCUUACUGAGAAGAUAUACAUUCCACAGAUGGGGCUUUAUUGAGAUGAGCAGAUUCUAAGGGGGCUGCCUUGAAUGAACAGCCAAAGAAAGCAGAAAUGAAGAACAAGCAAUUGCACCAGCCAUGUCGAAGGUGACUUUGCUCUGAAGAAUAGGACUGGAAGAAACUGAUUAAGUCAAAUCACUUCUCUAUCUCUGUAUCUCUAUCUCUAUCUCUAUCUCUCUAUCCACCCAUCCAUCCAUCCAUCAACCAUCCAUCUAUCUAUCUAUCUAUCUAUCUAUCUAUCUAUCUAUCUAUCUAUCUAUCUAUCUAUCUAUCUAUCUAUCUCCCUGAGGGAAGUCAGCUUUCAUUUGUAGGAAGAAGGUCACAUCCGCGCCCCAUUAUGGUGAAAACCAGGAUUGCAGGGAGUGAGAUAGAUGGGUUAUUUCUUUCUUCCUUCCUUGUAUCUUCUUAUAUCUUUGUAUCUUUGUUUCUUUGUAUCUUUCUUUCUUCCUUCCUUCCUUCCUUCCCCCCCCCUCUCUCUCUCUCUCUCUCUCUCUAUCUCUCUCUCUCUCUCUCCUUCUUUCUUUCUUACUUCUUUUUUGCUUUUGGUAGGAUAGAAUGCCAGUUGUGGCCAGUCCCCAUCAGCAUCCACUGUGCUACAGACCCAGUCUCAGUGUGACACAGAAGAGGCCUAAUUGGAAAGUUUGUCCUCUCUCUAAGGGAUACUGUAUAUACAGUGCUCUGGACUGCAGGUCAGACAAGGCCUGCGUUUAGGAGACUUGUGGACAGAAGAAUGUCUGUGAGUCUGGACUUAGACUCCGUGGAGUGCUCAGGUCACCUGACUGUCCUGAAGCUUCCCACUGUGAAUUAUUUCCCUCCUACAGAGUCAGCCACCUGAGCAACUUCAUUUCCUGGUUAUCCCCUAAUCCUCUUACACUGUGUAGAGUGUUCAAUCUCAGGGAGGGCCUGGGAAUCUGAGAGACACCACUGAGCCCCCUGGGCCUGGCUGAUUCAACCUGAGGCUACUCUGUGUGUCUUCAUUUUGCUCACCCACCAGAGACCUCAAAAGUCAGCAGUGAGCUUGCUGAGAGGCCAGGAACCUCCAUAUUGGCCCAAGAGCAACUGUCCUCUUUUACAGGUUCAUCCACAGAGCAUGUAAUUCUGAUUGGUGCAACAGUCUGGAAGAGUGAAAGACGUCAUCUCCCAAGGGCAAGUGCUGUGCUAGUGGACACUGAGGAGCUGCACGGAUCAGACCCUUCCCCAUCCUUCUCCAGCCUCUCUUGUUCUUCCUUGAGAUGUUUCCUACAGAUCUGAAAGAUCCAGGCAGUCCAUGACAUGCAUUUGAAUUUAAUCUCAGGACAUUUUACUCCUUGCUCUAAAAUUAAGACCAGGUAAUUCAUUUGUUUGUUUAUUUAUUUGUUAUAUGUAAGUACAAUGUAGCUGUCUUUAGAAACACCAGAUAGCAUCAGGUCUCAUUUGAGAUAUUUGUGAGCCACCAUAUAGUUGCUGGGAUUUGAACUCUGGACCUCUGAUAGAGCAUUCAGUGCUCCUAACCACUGAGCAAUUUUUCCAACUUCCAGACUAACUUUUUAAAUUCCCAGAAUGUAUUCUUUAUUCAGGUUACAUCCUGAUCCAAGCCACUCUCCCUCUGCCUGUCUUCAGGGUAGGAGAUUACAGGAAGGCCCCAAUUUUCAGCAGGGGAGUGGGUUUGCUUCCAGAGCAGGCAGUGGGGUCGUAAACAUCUCACUCUCAGGGAAUUGGGAGCUUUCCCAUAUAAGAAUUUUCUGUGGUGGAAGCUCAGUUUGCUGUCUGGCUUCUUUUUAGUUUUCUCUUGCUUCUUCUGGAAUGAGAAUGUUCUUUAUUAAGAGCUUAGAGGGUGUUUCUGGCCAGACUAUGUUCAUGUGCAGGCCCAUCCCUGGACGGCUGGAUGCUUAGACUCUCCUGGGGAGGCCUGUUUCCUUUCUGCAGCAGGCCAGCUAGUAUGAAAACUAAAGGACCCCAUCAGAUGUUCACAGUGCACAACACACAUACACAAACUCACGCAUGCACACACACACACACUAUACAAAUAUAUAUAUAUAUAUAUGUAUAUAUCUUCCAUAUUCCUAAACCCACACAACAUACACAUCACGUGUCAGAUGUGCAUGCACAUUACAUAUAUCACAGACAUAUAUACACUGUGCACAUCACACGUGCCAUUUGUACUUAUAUGCACACAUGCAUGCACACCUCACUCUACACACAUGCCUGCCAUGCACACAUGUAUAUAGGAACACCAAAAUGAGUGAAGAGAUUUUAAAGGAGGCUUGUGCAGUCAGGGUAUGAUAGGCUUGGGCAUGACUACCCUCUGUGUUACAGUCAACUGCGGUCUGGUCUUUUAGCUACUUUCACAACAGGGCCAGUGCCUGUGUAGAAGGAACACCAAGGCCACAUCUCAGGGAAGUGAACUGAGGACUCAGAAGAGGCACAGGCCCUGGAGUAUGGAAAGGCAGAGCAUGGUAUGCAGAUGUAAAUGCUGUAAGGCACUCUGGCUUGUCCACUCCAAUAGGCACGAUAGUAAGCAUGAGGCCAGUAGAUGUCGUAUCCGUGGGAAGAACCCUCUGGAUGCCAUGUUAGCAACUUAGGGUGUUUCUUGUUUUCAGUCCAUGCUGUGGACAAGGAAUCAGGAGGUGUGGGGUAGAGUGGAGACUUGAGCACCUACCCUCUAUGUUGUGAACCUAGUGGAUGUUUUUCUGCCCUUCUAGCACUGUGAGUGGCCUGUGCCAGCACAGCAGAAUGGGGACAUUCCCAGUUCCAUAGGAUACUGCAGGCUUGGGGACUGGGUACUUAGGCUUUUGGCUGUGCACCACACCACCUUCCUGACCAAUGGUACAUUAAGUCAACCAGUGCUUGCAGAAUGCUUGAGACAACACAAAUGUCUCCUUUCUAACUGGAAACAACAUAUAAAGGUCUAAUACAAGUCAGUAAUGUGUCUCUGAUUGUCCUGUGGCACUGGGUGAAUUAAGGACAUGAUGGAGAGCAUGCCAAAGAGUCUAACUCGUUCUGUUCCAUCUUCCUUCUGAAUGCAGGUCUCCAGGAUCCAGUGCUCACACGGACUCAGGGCUGCUGCUCAGGGAACCAGCAAACCCUGUUGCUCUGACCAUGCCACCGUGAAGGGCGGUCUCGUUCUGUUCCAGUCUCUGCGGUGCCACUGUGUAUUAGAAAGGACAUCUUUCAAAGGAGGGGUUGGUGAAGGGCAAUUUACCUUCUCUUUCAGAGAUACAACUGUCUGAGGAGAGGCUAGGAGGUGUUGCAGAACCAAAAUAUAGAGCUAGAGGGAUCAUAAAAUCGAGGUUGGGAGGAAGGUUAGCUCAAGGCUGCAUGUCCCUGAACACCUUGGUGGGGGUGAAGGGUGACUUAAUAGUCACUAGUAGCCCAGUGCCUGUCAGUACUCUACAUGACCUUGUUGCCCUUGCUUCUUCUGGUGCUCAACAGCACCACUCAGAUGCAAACAGCAAGGCCUAGAUAGUGUCCACAUCUCCCAUGGCUUGACACUGUGCUGGGUUUGAUACUACAAACUGGGAGGCUGGGACUUGAACUUGAGAUCACUGACUCAGGCUAGGGAGGACUCCAGGGCACCUGAGCUCAGCUGCAAAGGCAGAAACUGAACCACAGUGAGCAGAAGGGGCACAUUUUGCUGUUUCUUUCCUUUUCUGCUCUCAGGCCUUUCAAUGAACACUACAGAUGAGGAUCUUUCCUCCCAGGCUUAGUGUCUGCAGCCAUGAGGGUCCUCUACAGGGGAUUGAAAACCCCAGAAGAGUCUUCAGAAGGAAAGUGCUACACACUGCACUUCCCCCAGCACUCUGAAAAACAGAGACCCUUUUGGGAUUUGGGCCAGUCAGUGCUCAAUAGUUAACUUCUGGCUGCACUGGGUGCUCACAAAUAACACAGCAGCCUGGGUCCUGUGACCUGGCUGUCACAGACUGUGAUUGAGAGUUUAUUUUAACUGUGUCAGCACAGGAACUCUGUUCCUUCUGGUCUGAGGGAGCACAGAGCUCCUUGUCCUCACACACACCUGUUCCACUAUUGGACCUUAGUGUCUUAAAGUAAGCCCUACACUCAGGAUGGACUUGGUUUUCUAUAAAAUCCUGCCAACCUCUGUGUGUAAAGAGGGGGAGGGGAGGGAUGGAAGGAUGGCGAGAGAGAGAGAGAGAGGGAUGGAUGGAGGGAAAGACAGAACAAGAGAGAGAGCAAGAGUGAGAGCAAGAGCAAGCGAGAGAGAGAGAGAGAGAGAGAGAGAGAGAGAGAGAGAACAUGCACUAGCCACCAAAGAAGCAUUCCUGUAUUCUUCAUUAGCCUUACAGCUUUGUCUCUCUUCCCUGAUUAUUGCCUUUUCUGCUGUGUUGGGUUUUUUUGUAAAGAAAUGCUUGACUUUCUCUUCCUUUCUGUUGAUCUGGGGUUUGGUUCUUUUUUUCUUUGUUACCAUGGAGAUCAUACCGAAAAUGCUAAAAUACUACCAGUCCUAUGUGAACUGUAUUACUGCUAUUUUGACAGCCCUGAACAACUUCUUCAGUUUCUGAUGUCAAUGAAGGAGAUGUCUGUGUACAUGAGCCUCGGUGGCACUGCUGUUUGGGGUCAUGUAACAUGGCAACUCUCACAUCUUGGAGGAAGCAGAAGUUCACCUUGCCUUUGGGGAUUGUCCGGGGAUCACCUGUUCUUUAUUUCUUCUUGAGAUUCUGAAAUCCUUUAAAUCGGUCUUCAUCUGUGGGAGUUUCUUAGUUUUCUUCCUCAAUUUUGAAGGAAAAUUUUACUAGAAAAUCAUAGUUCCUAAAGAGUGUUUGUGUUGCUGUUUUUGUAUAGUGUUGUGUAUACUCACCCAUUCUGUGUGUCCGUGUGAGUGUAAGUUUGUGUGUUUGUAAUAAAGGGUGGGAAUGUGUGUGGUGUGGUAUGUGUGUGCUUGUGUGUGUGUGAGAGAGAGAGAGAGAGAGAGAGAGAGAAGAGAAGAGAAGAGAAGAGAAGAGAAGAGAAGAGAAGAGAAGAGAAGAGAAGAGAAGAGAAGAGAAUGAAGCAAUCUUGUAUGUACACUGUUAUGGAUGUGUCCCACCAUGUGUGUGGAGGUUAGAGGACAUUUUUGUCAGACCUUAUCUUACCUUGUUUGGAACUAGGUGUGUGGUUUGAUGUUGCACAUGGCAGGCUGCCUGAAUGACAAGCUCCCAGGCAAAUUUCUGUCUCUCCUGCUUUUCCUGCUUCCUAAAAGCUCUGAUAUUACAGGUGUGUGCUCAACUUUCGCAUGGGUUCAAAAUCAGGUCUUCACCCUUUGCAGGGCAGAUGAGAAUCAAAAGCCUUGGAAGCUGUGAGGAAGGCAUCUUCCUGUCACCCUACAGGUAGUAAUAAGCUUCUUUAUUAUGUCUCAUGAGCAGUGUUGGGGUGCAGGAAUCACCCCACAAACCAAACAGCCAUUUCAGUCAAGCAGGGACAGUUUAUGGAACAUAUAUCCUGGGACUGAUUGGUCAGGGACACAUGUCACACAGGGGAGUAGAGACUGCAACCCUAUUUCCAAGGACUGCAGUAUGAAAGGCAAAACCACAGAAGCUCUUAGCAACUAAGAGCUCAUACACAGGUGCCGAAAGUCUUCCCAGGCAGUUGGGUGGUUGGUUCGGGUCCAAGGUUAUUGUUACUAGCAUACAAAGCAAUUCUAACUGAACUUAACUAUGAUUGGCCCUAAAGGAGGGCACAGGUUAGGGUAAUUUCCAGGAACAACAGACCACACAACUUAGUGCGAUAUGCAGUUAAUGAUUAGCUGGGCAUGAGAAAGGUCCUCUGUAAUAAUGUAAGAUGGCUGGCGACAGGUAUUAAAGUGGAUAGAGUAAUGUCAGAAAGGCAGCAGCCACCUCCGUCUUAAAGAGAAGAUUAUACACACACACACACACACACACACACACACACACACACACGCGUGUGUGUGUAUAUAAUUAAUAUAUAUAUAUGUAUCUGUAGUUUAUUCUUAAACCCAUAGUUGAAAUGCAAAAGGGACCCAUGGAAGGUAGACAUAAGGAUUUUAAAGCAGGAGGCACAGCAAACCUUCAAACAGAGAACUAAGGACAGCAAACCAUCCUACAGGCUUUGAUUUCUAAAAGCCUAAAGGCUCCCCAUAGCCAACCUAAGCCAGAGCCUUGGAGUCCUUCCCAACCAUGCAAGGACAGGUCCUAUUGUGACCUCAUGAGGAGCGAGUGUGAGGCGGUCCAGCCAACAGAUGUUAAGCUGUAGCCAGGCCUGGAUUUCCUUGAGUGCGUUUAGAGGAGUGGUGGAGUGGAGACUUUGGUGAUUUUGGUGGAUCUAGUGAGCAGUGUGUGGAUUUUGCAUUUGAUUGAUUUGUGUGUAGCUUGUGUAUGAGUGUCUAGGUCAGUGUUUGUGUGGACAGUUGCUUUUGUGUGUGUGUGUGUGUGUGUGUGUGUGUGUGUGUGUGUGUGUUGGUAUUCUUGGUGGUGACUGUGAGUGCAUCUGUGAGUGUGGGUGUGUGUGUGUGCCCAACUGUGUGUGAGUGUCUGUUGUGCCCUCUUGGUGCACUAGUUGUAGGUGUGAGAACACCUGUGUGAGGAAAAGUUUUGAGGCCGGCAGUCAGCUUGGCCAUUGUUUCUAAGUGCACAGCAAAGGCAAGAAGACCAUCAACACUAAAAGCACAGAAGACAAAUCCAGUGCCUCAGCAGAGGUUAAGCCUGUCGCAAGCAGGCCCUGGCCCAAAAGAUUUAGGGGGUGGCUCAAGAACAUCCGAAAUGGCCUGAUGAACCUGUGUUGCUGCAUUCCGUCCAGAAAAAAACCUCCCCUGGGGCACAACAGAGUUGUUCCCCAGAAAUGAAGAACAUAGAAGGAAUCCAGAGAGCAAGCAUCCAACACUGCCCAGAAGAUCACUAGAGGAUGCCGGAUGCUGCAUCUCUGCAGUCCCAGUGUUGAAGAGGACCCACGUGUGGACACGGACCUGCAGAAGGGAGCGCUGUGAGAGCUGUCACGUUCCAGGUCAGCUGUCGAAGGAUGAAAGCAAAUGAAGAGAUGCCAGGUGGCAAGAGAGCACCUCAAAGGCAUCACUCUUCCUGGUGGAGGUUGAAAACCAGUCCAAAGCUGGUAAAGACCAGAGCCCUUUUGCCGACCAGGGUCACAUCACACACCUCCUCUUGGCACAAGUUCUCGCCUCACUCUUAGUGGAGGAUAUACGGCUUCUUGAUGUGUUUAUCUGACUCUGAGAAUAAAAUAGCUGUUUGUGAAAGAUGA